GGGAGAUUGAACAUGCCGGAGAGAAUUCAAAUUCCGUGACUGCAUCGACGAGACCAUCCACCAAGAGCACAAAAAGUUCAACAGAUGCUCCCAUGCGUAAUCUUGUGAACCUGGUCAUCGGGAUUCUCCUGUUGAUCGCCUUCACUUACCUUCACCUGCCAAGUAUUUGAUUUAUGAUUUUCACUGCUAUUUGCCCUGAGUGUGAUGCAGUAUCAUUGACAAGUACGAUUGUCAUAAAGGGUUUUGUACGUCGUGUCACAAUUCGUGUGUAUGUAGCUUGUCCUCCUUUCGAUGCUAAUGCUUUGUACUUCUUUUUGCAAUAACGGAACUUGAAGAUCUCACUAGAUGUGAGGCUGCUCUGUAAUUUACUUUCUACGCUCUCUGCUGCAUAUAAUGUGAAGAAUCAACAAGUUGCCAUAUUGAUGUCUCCUUUAAUUUACUUUCAGUCCAUCAUUCAUGUAUUUCUUUAGUUUAUCAAACUCAACAAAGGAUUGAUCACAUGAGAUGGGUUGUUUUUGUGGGCGCGGUCCAUGGACACAGCAUGCAAACUAAUCAGUCUACACAAGGCAAAGCCUACUUUGUAAAGUUAAAUCUGAGUCUUCCUAGAAUCACACACGUACUCAGAACACUAAAAACAACAAAUGAAGACCCAGAAUACAUUUCAACGGACACUGAAUUUUAAGAGUGAGAAAUAGGGGAGAGCUUAUAUUUAGAGACAUUCGGUACACCGGUGACCUAUGUCAAGCUGCCCAACAAAAUCCAAAACAUAAUUUAUGAUGUGAGGAGGGCCAUAAACAUUUGGAUCACCUUAAGACAAGGUCCACCGUAGCACGUUCUCAUAUAUGUAACAAUAACCUGCAUUCUUUGCAAGCUAGGAAUGUCCUAGUAUAGAUGACAGUUCACAAGAGGAUUUCCAACAUAAUGGCCUCUCUCUCUCUCUCUCUCACACACACACACACACACACCCACCCACCAUUCACGCCAGCAGAGCAUUAUUGAUGAUAAAUCUUGACGGAACAGAUAGAGUGACUCAAUUGCACAAGGAAGAAAAUGAAAAGACAAUGCUGAAGGAACAGUGCAAGUUAGAGACCAUAUUCAGGCUUGACAGUUUAAAAAGAUUAAUUUACGCUGAUACCACUCUAGUUUCAACCAAAUUGUCAUUGUAUUUUCACCAAAAAUAUUUUUCCAGGGGUAUUAGAAAGUAUUUAGCUAGGGAGACUUUUCAUUCUAUCAAGUCCCGCGAGACAAUUCAAGGGAAAUAAUUGGUGAUUUGGGGGAGAUCUAGUCCUAUUUGUUUGAGAUAUAAAAAAGAAAGUAACUUACGGUGUUAUUGCGUUCCCUCCAAAUUAGAGUGGUGUUGAAAGUAGGAUUUUGGAAAUACAGGCGUGUUACAGUGAUUGAUCAAAUAAGAAGGGAAAAAGAUAGAAAAACAAUCCCAUAAAAUUGCCAUCUUUUACUCCUUUCUUUUGGCAGGAUGACCCCACAAGAGGAAUCUGUCCACAUGUGGGGAGGGAUAGAGAAGAAGAGAGUGGAAAAAGGACAUUCACAAGACUAUAAAGGACGAUAGCGAUGGCUAUAAAACUUCCUCAAGAAGGCGAACACAGUCUUGUAGAGUUCUGGGAAGAGGACAAAAGGGAAGAAAUAAGCAAGGGUAGAUGUGGGAUCCAUCAGGCACUGUUGAUUAACUUCUCCAGCAAGGGGAGGACUUCACCAGACAAAGUUGCUUGGAAUGAGUCAAGCGUCUAUUAUAAACAAGGACAGGUGGGAAUCUAUCAAGCACUAUGGAUUAACUUCUCAAGCGAGGGGGAGACUUCACCAGACGAAGUUGCUCGCCAUGAAUUUUAUACUAUAAAUUUAGCACUUUGAUGCUCAAGUUCCAAUGGCUAUAAAACUUCCUCAAGAAGGCGAACACAGUCUUGUAGAAUUCUGGAAAGAGGACAAAAGGGGAGGAAUAAACAAGGCUAGAUGUGGGAUCCAUCAGGCACUGUUGAUUAACUUCUCCGGCAAGGGGGAGACUUCACCAGACAAAGUUGCUUGGCAUGAGUCAAGCGUCUAUUAUAAACAAGGACAGGUGGGAAUCCAUCAAGCACUAUGGAUUAACUUCUCAAGGGGGAGACUUCACCAGACGAAGUUGCUCGCCAUGAAUUUUAUACUAUAAAUUUAGCACUUUGAUGCUCAAGUUCCACAAACAGCUCUAACCAAAGCCUCUCUCUCUCUCUCUCUCUCUCUCUCUCAGAGCUUAGCUAAGAAUCACCAAGAGAGUAUAGUGUCUGAAUAAUUUUGUUUGGUUGUCCUAGUUAUUGUUUACUACCCUAUUGGGAUUUUUAUUUCUUAUGGCAGUCUUCUAAUUAUGCCGUUUUACUCCUCUUUUAAUUGUUAAUUAUAGUGAUUGAUGAUGUUUUAGAGAUAACUUUAAAAGAUUUUAGAGCAAUGUGAUUUCUUUUCAAUUUUUCUGCAUCUAUUAUGGCUGACGAAUGUUAGAUAAGCAAAAUUUAGUCUCAACCUCUAAACACACCUUGGUGGUUCAGGACUUGGCUAACCAACUGGGAGAAAUUAUAAGUGAAGUUUUCCUCCUGGUACAAAGUUUCAUUUUAAUCGACGUCCUACACACUUAUUACAUUUUAGUCCCAUCUCUAACUUUUCACUACUAGAUUUGUCUCUCAUCUCUACUGUUUCACUGCUUUAUUAAGCUCCAUAAUAGAAGCGUGUAUGAUGUAUCAAGUACAGCGACUAAGCAAAACAGUCAGUGAGUGACUAAAAUGAAAAGAGAUGUGUAGAACAGGGAUGAUGACAUGUCUGCGCUUCUUACAUCUCUUCGUUUUUUGUUUUUUUUCCUUUGGUGUUUCCCUUGAUGAUUAGGAGUACGGCGAGAACAAAAACUAAUCUUUGCUGCAGAAAACACAAGAUGGAGAAAAAAAGGUAGUGCAAUUACGAAUGGAGUCUAGUUGCCAAUUCAGUUAGUCAUCUUCGAAGUUCACAUUAGUUGAAGUAGGCAAUUUUACGAGAAUUGCUGAUUUGACGAUAGUUAUAGGUCCCUGAUUUAGACUGUUAAUUCAUUUCCACGCACGGAUGUAACCUAAAUGCAUUGGUCAUGCCAGAAAGCUCGAAUGCCACGCACGAAUAUCACUAUUAUUUUUGCCGCUAGAAAAUCACUUCAUCCUGACGAACCAGUCCCCGAAUUUUUAUCAAAUAGCCAAAUAACCCAUUCAACGGCAUCUUCACUCAUUUUUUAGGAAUGGAAGUGUUCUGUCACAGAAAGAACUCGGUAGUUUGGUAUACACAUAAAAGUUCAGACUUGUGGAAUCAGUUUUCACUAGAAUUUACCCUGAUGGAUACACAUAUGUUCCUGUUAGUAUGAUAAAACUUGGGCAACAAAGAUUGAUUUGAUAUGAGUCGCUGUUCAGAUUUACCAAUCGAAGUAUGGUUGUAUAUUUUUUAUUUUGUUGGUGUAAAAUGUAAGUAUUAUUAAGCAAAUGAAGUACAAUAGCUUAGGGGCAGUCCCUAGUAUUACAAAUAGAGCUAAUAAUUUGAAAAGAUGGGAGGUAGGAAGUCUCCACAUAGUGGCCACAUCUAAUUGUGCUUGUUAAUUGUUUAAAUUUCGAUAAUCUCUUUGCUUUGUUUGGUGCUCCCUUCUUUUUCAUAGUGGCAUGGGAAAAUGGUGCUUUCGAUGCGGUGGCUCUGUAAUUAAUUCAAAUAAACGAAUUUGAUGAUGCUUUAUUCUUGACGAGAUUAAAUUCAAGUAUCUCCAUUCUGAAUCUUCUUGACUUAGCCAGACACCAGCUGUCUUUCUUUGUUUCUUUACUAAAAAGAAAAUGGGAGAGUUCUUGAAUGACCUAUGUCGCGACCCUUCUAAUGUGAAACAUAGGUGUCUUGCGAUACUAAUUGAAUUCAAUUUUGAUUAAUUUGAAAUUUCGAUAAGAAAUUACAUGAAAUUAUCCAAUUUGGCCUAUAUGUCCAAUUGCGUGUACCCAUGAUGUGAAGUCAUUAUUUUAUAUGUUAAUCAAGCAAUUAGGCCAAUAGAAAAUCACCGGAUCACAUUUAUAUGGUUUAAUUGGCCUAAUUACUUUAGAAUUAGAUCGUUUUUCCUCAAAUUGAGUAAAUUUUUCUUUCAAUUUGAUCAUUGAGGAACUAAAUUGCGUAAAAUGUAGCCCCCCAGGAUUGGCCAGCUCGGACCGCCCAAUAAUUGAUUAAACCGACUUAAACCGGUCCGACCGAUCGCUGGUAGAGGAGGCCAGUUUGGCCCUCUAUCGGCUGGCUCUUGGCGGCUGGCGACCACCCAUCGACUUCUCAUUGCGUGUAUUUCAUUUCUACAUCCCUCAAUUUUUCAGAUUUUGCUAAUAUACCCGUCAUUCAUGAAUACAAAAUUACCCCUAAUUAAGCUUUAAUCGUAACUUGAGUUUGAACUCCCGUUUUUUGCACAUCAAUACCAUCCGAAUGAUCAUGUGAUGUAUUUUGAUUAGGAUUAAUCUCUAAUGGGCUUAAUUCGGCCAUUCUAUCAAGUUUCGAUUGUCAAAUCGAAUCGAUGGUCGAGAUUUGAUCUCAAAUGAAGACUAUAAAGUUUUUCCCUCCAAAAAUCAUGCGAAUGGGUCAUUUUACAUCAAUUUCAGAUCUAAACAUAGAGUUUUCUCUUAAAAAUCUCUCUCUCCUCUCAUUUCCUGCCAUCCCCUAUCUAUGCACCUCCAUGUGCAAUCGGCCUCCGUCGGUUCACGGUCGCACGCUGGCAAUCCCGCUAUUGCUGCUUGGUUGCCCGGUGAUCCUCCUUCUCUGUCUAACCUGCUGGUGAUUGGAGCACCCCGUCCCGAUCACCUCAGCCACCCACACGAGCCCCUCCGUCCACGGCAAUUAAGAACGGCAAUUGAACCCCUGAUACUUCUCCUUGCUGAUCGACAAUCAACAGUGGUCCCUGAGAGGUCCGACCACCGCCGAUCAUCAGCUAAGAGAAUUCCUGACCUUGUAGUGGUCAGGGUCUAGUCGAAUUGUCACCAAACAAGUUCCAGUGACUUGCUUUCCCUCCAGCAGUCCAAACCAGGUCCAACCGGACCCAAUCCUAUUUAGCUCUUGAUCCGGUCCAACUGACAGAGAUCAAACCAAUUCUGGCGAGCCGUGGCGUCCAUUUGACAAUCCUCGAGGUUCAUAAGGAGAUUCGAGGCUUUGAUCCUCAAUCAUUCGUGUUCGAUUCAUUGAAAUCACAAAAGGUAACAAACUGAAAUACGAAUCCAAUGAAGCAAGAUUGAAAUAGUUGAUCGGGACUAGAAUUCAAACCUAGGAUCGUAUUUCAUGCUUAGAUCUGAAGAUUUGGAUGUUAUAUGAUGAUACAUGUUGAUGUUGUGUUGAUUGAAGAUGAGUUUGAACACAAUUGUUCAUAAUUUACCCUAUUCUGCAAAAGUCAUAUGUUGAAAAGUGACCUUCUGUUAAGGCUGAUGUGAGGCAUUAAACUUCGUUAUUUGGCCUUGGAUUGUUCUAGACAUAUGUCUAUGUUUGGUGAGUUUCGAUUUGAUAGGUUAUAGGCCCCGAAUGGAGUUUAUUCGAUACUUGAAUUACUUCUUGGAAGUUGGAAAAUUAUGCUAUUUUUGUGUAGUGUUGUGGUGUUCUAAUGUUUGAACAUGCUAUCUGUUUACUAAUUUUCUACUGAUUUUUGUGUUGGAAAAAUCUUCCCUAGGUCAGUCUUUCCUGUUUGAAUCCUACUCAUGUUUGCUUUGAAAUGAUUUCUUGAAUGUGCUCAAUUGGAUUCUCAUCAUUAAUGAAAUUUAUAGCAUGCAUUACAAGCUAUCUAAUUAGAUAUAAUUUGCGCCAAAUGAUCAUCGUUUACUAGGCUAAUCACGCAUGUGAAAACAUGUUCAUGCUGCUGCACUUUGUGAAAUUAAUUGCAUCAUCUUAUUUUGUCAUUUUCAUGUGGGUUUGUGUGGAUCAAACUAGAUUUAGGUGUCCUCGAGGAAAAUAAACAUGACAUUGCAUGCUAUAUGUAGGAUUUUUCAUGGGAUUUUAGCAUGUCAUUAAAUCAUUGAAAAUGACUCAUGUUUUGUGUUACACUUGCUAUGAUUAAGGUUAAUCACAAACCUAUGAAAACAUCUUCAGUUGAGCUUCUUAAGAGCCAAAUUAGUGCAUGAUGUUUUCUAGAUAUUUUAAGAGCAUAUCGCAAGCUUCUUAUUGAUAUAUGGCAUGCCUCAUUUGAAAGUCAUUUACCAUGAAAAAAUCAUGCAUCAAGUUGACAUAUCAUAACUGAAAUUGUCAUGCAUUUUGUCCUUAAUGACUAGGUCUUAUUAAUGUUAAUGAAUUCAUGUGACUUUUUGCAGUUUGAUUUAAGGUUAAAUGUAUUAACCAAACUUGUUCAUCACAUUUAAUCUUACAUCGUGUCUGAAUUUCGCAUUUUUCAUGCAUUGUUUAAGUGGUUUGACAAGUUGAUCAUCAUGCAUCAUUUUCUAAUUUGCUUAUGACUGAUUUGUAGCUUUUGCAAUUGUCGCUAUUGGAACAUGAAUUCAACUCUAAUUGAACUUGACACCUUUUAGAAAGUCUAAGGGCACGUCUUAAUCUUUCCAAUAAUGCCAAUUUUGCAUUAUUUGCAUGUCAUUUGACCUGUUUUCUAUUUUUGUCAAGAUUGCCUAGAAAUCAUUUUCUAGUGAAAUUCGGAAUGCCUGUUCUGCCCAACUCGAGUCAGACCUCUUAUUAUUUUUGUAUGAUUUUCUCGUUAAGGAUUCUAAGUCUGGGUUCUUGACAAAGUUUGUUUGUCUUUCUCUUGUCUAUAUUGUGGUGAAAUUUCACAUUUUUUAGACUUUAUUUAUUGGGACAAAUCAUUGUUGAUAUGCCAUGAUACCUUGCCAUCCUAUUACAUUUCUGAUGAGAUGCUAUGUAUUCUUGAAUUUUUAUAAAUUUUCAAUAACUCAUCUUAGGAAACUCUCUCCAUAAAAGUUGUUCCUGGUGAUGCUCUUAAUGUUCUUUAAUUUUCUUGGAGCAGAUUUUCCAUGAGUUCCUCUUCAAUUGUUUUGAUUUUAUUUGUCCUCUUCGAUGAUUUCUGUUGUGAUUCUCUACUGUGAUUUUCUUCUAGGAUUUUUUAGGACAUCUUGCAUGCUGAAUUUAAUUUACAUGUCUCACGAGUUUUGAUUCUUAUUUUUUGAACUUCGUACAAAAAAAUUCUUCAAAAUUAAAAAGUACUUUACUAUGCUUUUCAAACUUUUUGAAUAUUGUGAAACCAUCUGAAAUUUCAUUUUCUUGUUGGUUUGAAUUUGACUUUUGUUCAAGUGAUGCUCAUGCAUAAAUUUUUCAAAUCUUACAUCCAAAAUUUCCAAAUCAUGCUUUGGCCUAGCAUUGAUGUUGUCUAAGUUUGGACCAUAUUUAGGGCAUUUGCGAAACUCAAUCAAUGUGCACAGGAUGCACUCGAGUUAUAGCCUUGAUGAUUAAAUGUGUUCCAUAGCUAUGAUAAAACUUUGCUAUGCUAUUAACAAAUUUUCCUUACAAUGCACUGUUUAAUUAUUCUUUAAAUAGUUUUUGGGCAUCAUUUGAACUUCUGUUAGCUGUUUAUAUAUUUACUUUCAUUAAAUGUCUGUGAUUGUGUUUGGCAUUUGUUGACUGAUUAAGUGAUCCAAUGUUAGCUCGCUAAAAUUGUUUAAUUGAUUGAAAACAAAGGCCCGAGGGCCUACCUGCAUGUUUCCUUUCAAAUAUGCAUCUGAUUUUUAGGUGUAUGCAUAGGUAUGAUGCAUGAGCUCAUGAGAUACCUUUAGGUCAUACUUAGAGCUCAUUUUAGGGACUUUUUUGCAUUCAUUAUCAUGCAAGAAUACAAAUGGUGACUAAUAGGUAUAAGUCAUAAAAAAAUUGAUUAGGUAGGUAUCCUAGGUGGGUCGUUGCAUGAAACACAAAGGCUGACCUCGGGGCCAAAUUUGAUCAAUUAUGCACCCUAUCCUGGUUUCUUGAUCGUUUUUGUGAUUGUGAUUGUUUUUGUAUGUUUGUGAUGAUGAUUGUUUCUUUCACAUUAGAUUAGACUUAGAAUUGGUCCAUGGAGGUGGUGGCCCCCCAAGACAUGAAGACAAUGAAUGGUCAAUGUCCAAUCCAACCUUGUUUUUGUACCAUUUGUUCCCCGCAUAUGUUUCGGUUUGUCUCGUGUCAUAUAAAUGCCUGAUGAGUUGCGAGUUUCUUUCUUAUGAUCUCUUUCUUCAAGGAGUAUCAUUCAUGUGGAUACGAAUCACAACAACUUCCACUAUCAAGUGAGGUACAAGUUUGGGAGAGCUUAUGACCAUAAUCGAGUGAAUUCACAUGGUCAAUCCCGAAAGAUGAGGUGAUGACAUAUUUCGGGACACAUAUCGUGAGGGAGCUUUUCAUGGUCAAGUGUCCUUAAACUCGACUUUUCGGCCAUUCACCCCAAGGUUGGGUCACGAUACUACUACUCUGAGCUACUCCCAAUUAGUGGACAAUGGUAAGAGGAUAGCAAUAUGGAUCACAAAAGCAUCUUCUCUGUAGACAGAACGUGAAAAAGGAUCGGAAGCAUAUGACUCGUACAGGAUUCUUCAUUAAGCUCAUCAUCCCAGAAGGUGGCUUUCUAGAGAGCUUUUAGCAAAAUCGAAGCACGAGAAAAGGCUAAAUGCACCUCAACAAAACAUCCGGUUGAAAGUUGCGAAUGAUGGAAAAAUUCAAUGCCUUUUCUUUACCCCCGAUUUGACUGGACAAACUUAAGGCUAUCAGUAGCACAAGUGGAAUAAACCUAGGGCAAAACCCAAUUCCCGUACCAUGUGUAAAGUAUGUCGAUACACACCGAAACAUGCUCAUCCCUACCAGAAAGGCAUCUUGGAGAGAGAGAGAGAGAGAGAGAGAGAGAGAGAGAGAGAGAGAGGAUUACUGAGUGAGCCGACAAGAAGCUCCUUUUCAUACGAUUGAGACCACACAUCGAAUGGGAUCUCCAUUCUCGAGAAGAAUCCGCUUCUAUUGAAUCAAGAAAUGGGUCUAAUUGUCCAUCUUUCGAUUUGAUAUAAUAUUAAUCUAUAUUCAGUCAUCACAGUGGAGAGCUAUUAGUGCCUGAAAGACGGUCCUUUUUUUUUCUUUAGCCUUUCUCUUCUAGCACUUGAAUGGUUGCAAAAGAUUAAAAUGGAUUGUUGCAUAGACUCAUGCCUAUGUCAUAAUAGAUCUGAACAUUUGCAUUGGAUAGACUUCCUAUUCAUUUUCUCUUCUGCAGUACCUCGAUGUAACAUGAGCAACUAUGUAUGAGGACCUCCUUCCCUUUCACCAAGCUCAUUGCCUCUUUGCGUGGAUAAGAGAAGGGCUUUGUAUAAAAAUCUUAAGCCAUGUUCGUCACCCUAGGCUCACUUAUUAUUUUUAUUUUCUUGUACGUGGAGCUUUGUCGACUUACAUAAAUCUGGUUGACGCGGUUUUCCAUUUUUUUAAAGUAAGUUUUCUCUCUUAUUUUGUAUAGAAUAUGGAUGGAAGCUGUUUAGCUUGGCGAUAGAUACACUAGUUUUAUGAGGAUUUGUGUCUUAGGUGUUGGGAAAAAUAUGGACAAUCGAUUGUAAAUUUACAACUCUCCAAUUGAUCGUGAUUUUUUUGUGACUGGCUCUCCCUAUAGAAGAGGUAUAGUGUCUCGGAUUGAACUAUUAAAUUUCUAGCCUUUUUUUUAAUCAUUUAUUGCUAAUGUCUUUGAUAACUUCUUAUUCUUGUUUUAAUUGGAACUGUAAGAUUGGUGAACUACCGCAUUAUUUCACAACAGUCGUUAUUACAAUUAGGAACAUUGCAACCCCACAAAUUUGGAUAUAAUAAAUGUAAAAUAAGUAGUAACACACUUACUCGUGUUACAUUUUAAAUGACUCGAAGGAAUCGAAAAGAGAAUUACUUUGACCAGAUGCUUGGCCAAGAGACUUUAUUCGUAAAUAAACAGAAGAAAAUGAUUUGACGAGAACUAGCAACAGAAGAACGGCCAAUUAUUUUAUUUACAAAUUUAUUACUAAUAAAAGAUUGCGUGUUAAAUAAUCCAUGAUUAGAUGCAUUUAUAUCUUUGGACGCCCAUCUUGUACUUGCUUUUCUGUUCCCAUUUAUAAAUCUCGCAUUCAUAUUUCUUUUUCAUGUGGGAUUGACAUAUUCAGCGACACAAAAUAAAAUAAAAUAAAAUAAAAUAAAAUAAAAUAAAAUAAAAAUAAAAGGGCUCUAUCGAAUAAUUCCUUCAAAAAUCGGACAUAUAUCAAUAAAAAUAGAGCUGAUGAUCAAGCUCCUGGAGUUGGCCCAAGAGAUCAUUGGUAACAUCUUCUUAAGCUGAUCAAAACGAUGGCCAUACAUAUCUCCUAGAUAAGCAAAAUUUCAUCAUCCAAAACAUGCUGUGGAACUGCAAUUUGAUUAUUGCUGACAAAUUAAAACCGAUCGAUUUCAAUCCUUAUAUGCUUUUUCGGAUCUGAAAAAGGGUUCUGGACAAAUGCGCUUUUAGAUCAUGGGAAAAGCGAAGUACCCCACGACUGUCUGAUCGAACUUUGAACUCGGCCUGAUUAUGCCAAUCAUAAAACCGUAUUAAGCUCCUGAAAGAUUAAUUAAAUCAGGCAAAGGAGAAAGAAAAUCGAAGAGUGGACGGAGGAGCUGACCCAAUCCGAUUCUAUGUCUAUAAAUGUCGCUUCGUGGAGGAAAUGAUACUAAGCCAGAUAAAAAGCUUUUGCCAAAUUAAAUUAAUACAGGCUUGUGGAAUUCUGGCUCAAGCUUUUCAAGGGCUUAAAACUUUUAAUUUAUCUUCAGUUUCUAAGAUUAAAUAUUGCACGUUUAUUGCCUUCUCAUAUCUCCCCCUCGUUAUUAGAUAGAUCCAUCCUAUUUGUGCACAAUUUUGCUUGAUGAAACGUGGGCGUUUUGGCUUUGUUUUCUUGAUUUUUUUUAAAAAUUUAUUUUAGCUCUUGUUUGAACUUAUUUAAUAGGUAGAUGGCAAUCAUGUUGGUGCUUAGAGACAUCCCCUGUGGACAAAACCCUGAUCGCAAAAUUAAAUAUUGCAAGUUUAUUAUUGCCUUCCCGUGUAUCCCUGCCGUUAUUAGAUAGAUCCGGCCUACUAGCGCACAAUUAUAAUGGACGGCACGUGAGUGUUUUGACUUUUGUUUUCGUGAUUUUUUCAUUUAAUUUAUUUAAAAGCUCUGGCUUGAAUUUAUUUAAUAAGUGUUUCGCAAACAUGUCGGUGCAUACAGACAAAUCCCUCGAGAACAAAACCCAUGAUCGUAACACAACCUCUCUAGGUCAGAUAUGGACACUGGAAUUCUAAAACGACCAGCAACACCUCUUCUCAACCCUGUUGUCCAACCAACCCAGCAACAACUUCACGACGGCGUUCUCCCAACAACUUCUUCUAAAGGUGAGCUGAUUCCUGGUCCAGCUAAGACGAAGGACAUUCGGGAUCAGUCAAUGGGAAUCCUCAACCCCAAGAAGUUGAAGAAUACGAGACUUUCCACUAAAGCAGGAACUGCAAAAGAAAAUUAAAUGGUACAACCCUCAUGAGUCGCGAACUAACAUAACAGAAGGUCUAGAUGAAAGACAACUCAUGGAGACAUCCAUUUUUUCGGUCGAAGAGACAGGGAUUCCUUUAUUUCCAAAAAUAUAAGUACGAGUGUAAGAAGAAGAAGAACAGAAUUUCAGUAAGAAGCUAACGCUUUCCGAUUUAAAUAAGUAUAUUACAUUAUAUCAACUCAUCAUUUACACGAGGGCCCGUCCGACCGGGCGCUCAUCGUGAUCGUGACCAUCUAGAUGGUUGACGUCUGUUUUCGUCUGAAGAAGUCAAAAAAAUUGACUAGGUACAGUGGAUUAUCUAAAUGGUCCCCCCGUCCCACCCCCCAAUAGGGGCCCCUGCUCAAGGUUGUUAUGCCUUCUCGACCAAGGGGAAAGCCCUUCAAAAUGGCCUCUCCUCCCACGGAGCUGGCCCCGCCUUUUUCGCUCUCGGCUAGCUAGCUUGAACUUCGCCUGUGUGAGGGAAGAACUCGAGAUAUGGCGGCUGGGAUCAAUUCGAUGCAGUCUAUUGUCAUGCAGAUCAUGCGAGUACUUCGGGAGGCAAUAGGCGGCUACGGGUUCAGUCCAACCGAGGAGGAACUGCUUAGUUACCUGAAGUCCGAAAAUCCCGGAUACAGAGAAGAUUUCUGCAUCAUACCGAGAAUAGGAAAUAUCUACGAGAUUAAUCCGUGGGAUUUACCAGAAAAGUUCAACGGUAAGUCUUUCGCAACUUCAAAAGAAGGCAUAAGGAAAGGAACGGUAGCCCCUUCACUCAUGUCUCUAAAGAGUUUCUUAAUGUGCAUGCAGAGAAAUCGAUCAUUCCAUCCAAUGGUCGAGAAUGGUGGUUCAUAUGUCCACAUAUGCAGAACCAACGGAAUUGCAGGAAAACACCAUCCGAUUAUUCGUGGAAGAUCACCGGUAAAAGUACAGACAUUAAAAUUGAUGGCCAAAAGAUAGGUUCCAAGAAAAUAUUUGUCUUCCCUGAGGGUCGAGGCUCUAAGGGCUCCAAGAGCUCCAAGAGCCUCUGGCUCAUCCAUGAAUACCGUCUACCCGACGAAAAUAUAUGCAAGGUACCCUCAUCUAUUCGUUGCAAUUAAUUAGAUUCACAAGAUGCAUGAAUUUGAUGACACAUCAUGUGAGAAGUAUAGUACAAUUAUCUGCAGAAACACUCGAUUUAAAGUUUCCAAUAGUCUUAGAGAAAUAGAGAAACAUUUUUGUGCUUGGUUUCUACUACAGAAGAUUGAAAUCUUAUACAUAUAUGGAGAAUGAUAUUAUUUUUGCCAAAUUUGAGAGCAGUUUUUUACUGUUGAAGAAAAUAUGACUUAUGGUGUGAACUGAUAUAACAUGGUCUUUUGACAGUCGGAUAGAGAUUAUGUUCUGUGUCAUUUAAAGCUUAAACAAGAUGAAUUGUGCCUUCCUCAAACUGAUGAUGCGGGCUCCCUUCCUAAGGUAUGGAGAAUUAAAUGUUCUGUUUGUACACUCAAUAUCUGUCUUAACGAGCAUGGAAUGUGUUAGUGACUAAUCUUUUACUUGUAAAUACAGCUUCUGAUUCAAGAAACGAUGGAAUCACUGAGAAAGUCCGCCCAGCCCCAGAACCGAGCUCAAUUUUCUUUGCCUGACCUCCUGCAGCUGUUUCAGCGUGGGCUGCAAUCACAAAAUAAUAGCUUGCACUCCGACAUACAUCAGUUCACGGAUAUUGGGAGUUUGUCUGUUGAGGACUUCUCAUUGGAUGAUGGACUUACUGAUAAAUGUAUCGAAUUCAAAUCUUUGCUCGGAACAACUAAAGACGAUCGAAGGGUUGACUCAUUGCUUACUGAAGAUCCUUUUGAUGACAAGGUUCAGAAAGGUGAAGAGCCAAGGGUAGAAAAGGUUCAUCAAGAAACUACAGCCAGAAAUAUCGGACCAUGCAUGUCUUCAUAUGAAGCAGAAGCCAUAGCGAAGGUGAAAGCAACUCCUGAACUUACCCAUUGCGUCUUAUUACUUGUAAAUACAGGAUAAGACCCAAGAAAAGAUGAAGUUACUGAUGGAGAACUGUGUUCAAUUGCUCUUGUCUCACCGCCUGCAACUGCCUCAGCGUGGGCUACAAUCACCAAAUAAUAGCUCUUCGCUCAGAACAACUAAAGAGGAUCCUAAACUUCCCAUUGUGUCUUAUUACUGUUCUUUUAUGUUGACGUCCAUUGCUUGGGAAGUUAAUUACAUUCACAAGAUGCAUGACUUUGAUGACAUAUCACGUGAUAGCUACAAUUAUCUGCACAAACACUCGAUUUGAAGUUUCCAAUAGUCAUAGAGAAGCAGAGAAGCGUUUUUGUGCUCAGUUUCUAUUACAGAAGAUUGAAAUCUUAUACGUAUAUGAAGAAUGAUAUUGUUUUUGCCAAACUUGAGAGCAGCUUUUUACUGUUGAAGAAAAUAUAUGACUUAUGGUGUGAACUGAUAUGACAUAGUCUUUCGACAGUUGAAUAGAAAUUAUGCUCCGUCUCACUUAAAGCAUAAACAAGAUGAUUCUCGAACUGAUAAUGCGGGCUCCUCUCCAGAGGUGCGGAGUAAUAAAUGUUGUGUUUCUACACUCAAUAUCUGUCUUAAUGAGUGCAUGGAAUGUGUUAGUGACUAAUCUUUUACUUGUAAAUACAGCAUGUGAUCCAGGCAAGGAUGGAAACACAGAGACAGUCCACCCAGCACCAGCACCCAGCAGAAUUUUCUUCGCGUGACCUCCUGCACCUGGCUCAGCCAGGGCUGCAUUCACAAAAUAAUAGCUUCCACUCCAACACACAUCAAUUGACAAAUAAUGGGAGUUCGUCUGUUAAGAACUUCUCAUUGGACGAUGGUCUUACUGAUAAAUCUAUCGAAUUGAAAUCUUUGCUCGGAACGACUAAAGAUCAUGGACGGGUUGACACAUUGUCCAAUGAAAAUCGUUUUGAUGCCGAAGUUCAGAAAGGUGAAGCGCCAAGGUUAGAAAAGGUUCAGCAGGAAACUGCAGCCAGAAAUAUCAAACCAUGGAUAUCUUCAAAUGAAGCAACAGCCAGAGCAGAGGUAAGAGCAGCUCCAAAACUUACCUAUUGUGUCUUAUUACUAUUCUUUUACGUUGAGGUUCAUUGCUUGGGAAGUUAAUUACAUUCACAAGAUGCAUGAAUUUGACAUAUCAUGUGAGAAGUAUAGCUACAAUUAUCGGCAGAAAAGCUCGAUUUAAAGUUUCCAAUAGCCCUAGAGAAGCAGAGAAACGUUUUCGUGCUCAGUUUCUACUACAGAAGAUUGAAAUCUUAUACAUAUAUGGAGAAUGAUAUUAUUUUGGCCAAAUUUGAGAGCAGUUUAUGACUGAUGAAGAAAAUAUAAGACUUAUGGUGUGAACUGAUAUAGCAUGGUCUUUCGACAGUUGAAUAGAAAUUAUGCUCCGUCUCACUUAAAGCAUAAACAAGAUGAUUCUCGAACUGAUAAUGCGGGCUCCUCUCCUGAGGUGCGGAGUAAUAAAUGUUGUGUUUGUACACUCAAUAUCUGUCUUAAUGAGUGCAUGGAAUGUGUUAGUGACUAAUCUUUUACUUGUAAAUACAGCAUGUGAUCCAGGCAAGGAUGGAAACACAGAGACAGUCCACCCAGCACCAGCACCCAGCAGAAUUUUCUUCGCAUGACCUCCUGCACCUGGCUCAGCCAGGGCUGCAUUCACAAAAUAAUAGCUUCCACUCCAACACACAUCAGUUGACAAAUACUGGGAGUUCGUCUGUUAAGAACUUCUCAUUGGACGAUGGUCUUACUGAUAAAUAUAUCGAAUUGAAAUCUUUGCUCGGAACGACUAAAGAUCAUGAACGGGUUGACACAUUGUCCAAUGAAAAUCGUUUUGAUGCCGAAGUUCAGAAAGGUGAAGCGCCAAGGUUAGAAAAGGUUCAGCAGGAAACUGCAGCCAGAAAUAUCAAACCAUGGAUAUCUUCAAAUGAAGCAACCGCCAGAGCAGAGGUAAGAGCAGCUCCAAAACUUACCUAUUGUGUCUUAUUACUAUUCUUUUACGUUGAGGUUCAUUGCUUGGGAAGUUAAUUACAUUCACAAGAUGCAUGAAUUUGACAUAUCAUGUGAGAAGUAUAGCUACAAUUAUCGGCAGAAAAGCUCGAUUUAAAGUUUCCAAUAGUCCUAGAGAAGCAGAGAAACAUUUUCGUGCUCAGUUUCUACUACAGAAGAUUGAAAUCUUAUACAUAUAUGGAGAAUGAUAUUAUUUUGGCCAAAUUUGAGAGCAGUUUAUGACUGUUGAAGAAAAUAUAAGACUUAUGGUGUGAACUGAUAUAGCAUGGUCUUUCGACAGUUGAAUAGAAAUUAUGCUCCGUCUCACUUAAAGCAUAAACAAGAUGAUUCUCGAACUGAUAAUGCGGGCUCCUCUCCUGAGGUGCGGAGUAAUAAAUGUUGUGUUUGUACACUCAAUAUCUGUCUUAAUGAGUGCAUGGAAUGUGUUAGUGACUAAUCUUUUACUUGUAAAUACAGCAUGUGAUCCAGGCAAGGAUGGAAACACAGAGACAGUCCACCCAGCACCAGCACCCAGCAGAAUUUUCUUCGCAUGACCUCCUGCACCUGGCUCAGCCAGGGCUGCAUUCACAAAAUAAUAGCUUCCACUCCAACACACAUCAGUUGACAAAUACUGGGAGUUCGUCUGUUAAGAACUUCUCAUUGGACGAUGGUCUUACUGAUAAAUAUAUCGAAUUGAAAUCUUUGCUCGGAACGACUAAAGAUCAUGAACGGGUUGACACAUUGUCCAAUGAAAAUCGUUUUGAUGCCGAAGUUCAGAAAGGUGAAGCGCCAAGGUUAGAAAAGGUUCAGCAGGAAACUGCAGCCAGAAAUAUCAAACCAUGGAUAUCUUCAAAUGAAGCAACAGCCAGAGCAGAGGUAAGAGCAGCUCCAAAACUUACCUAUUGUGUCUUAUUACUAUUCUUUUACGUUGAGGUUCAUUGCUUGGGAAGUUAAUUACAUUCACAAGAUGCAUGAAUUUGAUGACAUAUCAUGUGAGAAGUAUAGCUACAAUUAUCGGCAGAAAAGCUCGAUUUAAAGUUUCCAAUAGUCCUAGAGAAGCAGAGAAACAUUUUCGUGCUCAGUUUCUACUACAGAAGAUUGAAAUCUUAUACAAAUAUGGAGAAUGAUAUUAUUUUGGCCAAAUUUGAGAGCAGUUUAUGACUGUUGAAGAAAAUAUAAGACUUAUGGUGUGAACUGAUAUAGCAUGGUCUUUCGACAGUUGAAUAGAAAUUAUGCUCCGUCUCACUUAAAGCAUAAACAAGAUGAUUCUCGAACUGAUAAUGCGGGCUCCUUUCCUGAGGUACAGAGUAAUAAAUAUUAUGUUUGUACACUCAAUAUCGNNNNNNNNNNNNNNNNNNNNNNNNNNNNNNNNNNNNNNNNNNNNNNNNNNNNNNNNNNNNNNNNNNNNNNNNNNNNNNNNNNNNNNNNNNNNNNNNNNNNNNNNNNNNNNNNNNNNNNNNNNNNNNNNNNNNNNNNNNNNNNNNNNNNNNNNNNNNNNNNNNNNNNNNNNNNNNNNNNNNNNNNNNNNNNNNNNNNNNNNNNNNNNNNNNNNNNNNNNNNNNNNNNNNNNNNNNNNNNNNNNNNNNNNNNNNNNNNNNNNNNNNNNNNNNNNNNNNNNNNNNNNNNNNNNNNNNNNNNNNNNNNNNNNNNNNNNNNNNNNNNNNNNNNNNNNNNNNNNNNNNNNNNNNNNNNNNNNNNNNNNNNNNNNNNNNNNNNNNNNNNNNNNNNNNNNNNNNNNNNNNNNNNNNNNNNNNNNNNNNNNNNNNNNNNNNNNNNNNNNNNNNNNNNNNNNNNNNNNNNNNNNNNNNNNNNNNNNNNNNNNNNNNNNNNNNNNNNNNNNNNNNNNNNNNNNNNNNNNNNNNNNNNNNNNNNNNNNNNNNNNNNNNNNNNNNNNNNNNNNNNNNNNNNNNNNNNNNNNNNNNNNNNNNNNNNNNNNNNNNNNNNNNNNNNNNNNNNNNNNNNNNNNNNNNNNNNNNNNNNNNNNNNNNNNNNNNNNNNNNNNNNNNNNNNNNNNNNNNNNNNNNNNNNNNNNNNNNNNNNNNNNNNNNNNNNNNNNNNNNNNNNNNNNNNNNNNNNNNNNNNNNNNNNNNNNNNNNNNNNNNNNNNNNNNNNNNNNNNNNNNNNNNNNNNNNNNNNNNNNNNNNNNNNNNNNNNNNNNNNNNNNNNNNNNNNNNNNNNNNNNNNNNNNNNNNNNNNNNNNNNNNNNNNNNNNNNNNNNNNNNNNNNNNNNNNNNNNNNNNNNNNNNNNNNNNNNNNNNNNNNNNNNNNNNNNNNNNNNNNNNNNNNNNNNNNNNNNNNNNNNNNNNNNNNNNNNNNNNNNNNNNNNNNNNNNNNNUCGAUCGGCCGCCCCUCGGCCUAUAAAUAGGCCUCCAUUUCCGUCGUCAGAGGCACACACACAAACGGCAAAGAGGAGAUCACUAACGGUAAGCUUCGACAGCUUCCCCUGAGAGACUUCAGGGGAGGCUCGAAGACGAGCUACCGGAGAUCUUGAGUCUAGCCGGAGAAGCGAGCUCGAGAGGGAGAGAGACAGACGGCGAAGGAUCGAGGGCUGCGAAUCUUCGAACCUCCCACUGAGAGACUUCAGAAGGGGGGGCCAAGGAUGAGCAGACCGAGAUCCAGAUCUAGCCAGAGGAGAGGAGUUCUGAGCAGAGGAGGUGAGAUCCGAGGGUGACGGUAGGUCAGAUCUAAUCAGAUCUGGGAGACGACGCUGCUUUGCCGCCACCUGCCGAGCCACCACCACCAUCCUCGACGUUGUUAACCGCCCACGCCGAAGCUCCAGCCAGCCACCACGUUUGCUAUCGUCCUUCGAUGCUGUCGAACGCAAGCCGAGACCCCUGCAGAGCCGCGUCGUGCACCCUUUGACGUCAUCGCCAACCGGCUUGCUCGCCAUCCACCACCUCGCCACAGGUAAUAAUGGUCAUCGUCAUCAUCGCCGCCAUCGUAGCCACCGUCGCCAUCAUCACCAUCGCAGUCGCCGCCGCCAUUUCCUCGGCGAUGCUUCGUUCCCCUCCCCCCCCCCUCAGCGUUGUGAAUCGGGAACCUUAGGGUUCCCGAUUUUUCGAGUCGCGACCCCGGGUCGUUGGGUCGAACCCGGCCCAGGAACCGGGUAGGGUUUUGCGCGAUUUGGGGCAGCGGAAAUUCGGGUCGCGAGUGGGAGCCGGGUCAGGUAGGGUUUUGCCGAGGAGCGGGUUGUCGGAGCGGGUCGUCGGGCCGGGUCGGGUGUCCCAAAACGCUCGGCCACGACGCCGUUUCUUUUUUUUUUUUUUUUGAAAGGAAAAAAUACGAGUCAGGCCCGCGCGCAUGCGGGUCGCCGGCCCGGGUCAAACCCAACCCGCGGAUCCGACCCGGGUCAGUUUUUAUAAUAUUUUUAAAUAGAAAAAUAAAUAAAUAAAUAAAUAAUUUCAAAAAAAUCAAAAAUAAUUUAUUUUCGAAAAAAAUAUUUAAAAUGUUUUAAUUUCUAGAAAACCGAAAAAUAUUUAAAAAUUGUUGAAAUUUUUUUUAUUUUCUGAAAAAAUCAAGAAAAAUAAAAAAUAAUUUAUUUUCCAAAAAAUAUUUAAAAAAUAUUAAAAAAUAUUUUAUUUUCCGAAAAAUCAAAAAAAUCAAAAAUAUUUCAUAAAAUCCAAAAAAAAGCCAAAAAUUCAUGAAAAGGCCAAGAAAAUUCAGAAAAAGCCAAAAAGACUUGUAUUUUUUUUUUCCAAAAAAUACCAAAAAAUCCAAAAAAAAAAUCCCUUUUAUGUAAAAAAAAAAUUAGAAAAAGACUCAAAAAUGUUUUUCCUCCCAAAAAUACAUGGAAAAUCCCUCGAACAUCCAAAAGAUCUCAAGAUUUAAACAAGAUUAGGUACCAAAAGGGCAUUAGUGAUUAAAUAGUAUAAUCAAGUCCUCAAUCCUAAUUUCUCUAGUUGCGCAAGAGUGAGUAUUUCUCCCGAUACUUCACUUGGGUUUCUAAUCAACCCACCCCAAAUCGAUUAGUGGCGACUCCAUUUUAAAAAUUGAUUUACAGGUUAAAAACUUGAACUAUUAAGUCGUGAAUUGGUGGACUUGGGAGAUUCCGGGCAUAACUAAUUUCAGCCAAGCCAUUAGCCUCCUUAGGCGCUUGUACUCGAUUGCGGGCGCCGAAAAAAAAAAAGAGAUCGCGACAGCUUGGCGACUCCGCUAGGGAUGAUUUUUGAGGACUUAGGCCAUUUUAUCUUGUUUAAACCCUUUACUAACUUGUUUUUGUUUUUUCUUUAUGCAAGUUAGUAGCUUAGAAGUUUAUCUUAAUUUUCGUUAAAAUAAAAUGUUUUUUGAUUAUAAAUUGCUAUGUAUGCUUUACUGUUUUAGCACUACACAUGGCACACACAACCCGGCCGCCGGACUUAGGCCGCCAUAGGAUUUCUAGGAUGGUGUUAAGAAAGAUACGACCUCGAACGCGAGACGGCGAUGUAGAGGUUGCCUUUAUUUUCCCCGAAUUUCUUAGCCGAGGUUAGGAGGGUAUGCUGCUAACGUGAGACUGCGACGGGCGGAUAUCCUUUUAAUCUCAACAAACCUUCUCAGUUAGAAAUUGAGCGACACAUCUCAUGCGCAUGUCUUUGUGCUUGCCUUUUUUAUUUAAACGCAAAGUGAUUUCUUUACUUUUACUUAGUCUUUUAUUAGCCCAUGGCAAUUUAGGAUAAGCUUUUCAAAGUCCCAAUCUAUAUGCGAUGGGGAAAGAUGAUAUCCAGUUCAUUCCUGCUCCCAAAGCGAAACUCUUCAAAUGGUGGGGUCAAUUGGAUCAGUUUGCCCAAGAGCGCGUGAAAGCCAAAGUCGGUCAUCUCCUAUCGUUGAUUCAAAUCAUUAUUCGUCCCAAAGUCAUACAGGCCAUGACACAUUUUUGGUGCCCGAAAACGACUACUUUUUUGUUUGGUGGGUUUGAACUAACCCCAACAUUGGAAGAAUACAGCAUCAUCACUGGAAUGCCUCUCGAGAAAAAGCUUGUUAGGCCAUCAACAGGCAUUAUCCUGUUGGGUGGGUUAGCACGACUUUUAGGAACUGAAAUCCACGUUAUGAGGCAAAUUCUUGAAAAUAACCAUAAGACCUGCCCACUAGAAUUCAUGAAUGUCUGUUUUCAAAAUCAGCCUAUGACCCAAAAAAACGAGAUUUUCCUCUUGGCCUUUUUUGGGUUCAUCAUUUUCCCCCAUCAAAGAAAUGUCAUAAGUCCUAAGAUGGCAUGGAUAAUUGAUCAGAUCUCGAGGGGGCAAAAUUAUGUCAACAUGAUUUUAACUGAAACAUUCUUGUCAUUUAAUCAUUUUAAAGACAACACGGAGAAAAUCAUGUGAGCCUCUCCUGAAAUUUUACAAGUCUGGUUCUUUUCUCACCUAAGCGAAUUUCGAGACUUCACGCGAUCGUCUGAAACAAAUGCUUUCGAAAAUUUGUUACAAAAAUUUAUGGUUUUAUGACCGUAUAUUCCCAAUCGAAGCUGUUUAAAUUUGGUUGACUUCUUAAGAAACCCAGCUCUUGAGGCAUUCCAAUGGUGUGCUGGUUGGUUCUAUGAAAAGAGAGCUCGCUUUGCUUUCAAGCGCCGCUAUUUAAUUCCGUUACUCGGCCUCACCGGUGCCAUUUUCUAUUUCCCACAUAAGGUGGCACGAUAGUAUGGAGUGAGAUAGCUAGUAUAAACACCUAGAGGGGGGGAAUAGGCGCACAAACAAUUUGUUGAAAUACGGAAGCAAUUCUUAACAAAAUGAAAUACGAUCGAGGUAUAGAGAGAGAGAGAGAAAAUUGAACACAUGAUUUAUAGUGGUUCGGCUUAUUCCAAGCCUACGUCCACUCUUCCGCACUGACAGCCCACCGGCUGGAUUUCACAAUGAUCAAAAGAGAAGUUACAGCACAGCUUUGCCUUGAUUCCACAGUGUAGAUGUUCUACCACACCUUCUCAAGGUUUCUCAUAAAUAUAGACUCUCUUUUGUAUACAAGUAUUCGCUCAAAGGAAUUGUCUAAACAAAAAGGAGCUUCAGACUUUGGAAUUCAUCUAUCGCGCACACCUCGAACAACUAAGAACGUCUUCCUUAUAUACUCCUUUAUGCCAUCAUACCCGUUGGCACUUACCAAAGGAAUUCCUCCAAUCUACCCGUUGGACGGAACCAAUUAGGAAGAUUGUUCGAGCUAUUAAAGGAACGUGUUGAUAGCCCAUCAAUCCUGUUCGCCCAUACAAUCAGGAUCUCGGUUUCCAUAAGUAGAACCUUCCAAUAAUAUUUAGACAAUCAUCGAAUCUUCAAUCAUUGAAUCAAUCUUGAUCAAUCAAAGGAUUCUGUUACGUCUUCUCCAGCCACGAGAUCUUCUCCAGAUGAUAAGGAUAAAUCCUGAACAAAACAUCCAGUUCUGGAUAACCUUUCUUCAACGGAUUAGAGACUGUCAAUGAGGAUAGACUUUGAGUCUUGAGUCUGGCUGUCCGGAAGUCUUCAGACUUUAAAUAACAGAGUCUGCAGACCUUCAGACUAGACUGAUGGAAACGUUUUGUCAACUUCAAAACACUUCACGAGGAUUUCUCCAACAAUCUCCCCCUUUUUGAUGGUGACAAAACCUUUCUGCAGAUUUGGAUAACUUUGACCUGCAAAACAUUUCUCAAACACAUAUGCAUAUCUUAUAGAGAUGAAUGGUUAAAAGAAUAACACUAGAAUCUACAACCACAGAAAAUAGGUUAGUCUUGUAUACAAUAAAACCAUCCAUAAGAUAUCAAUACUUGUUAAUAGAAGCAGUCAAGUCCAAGUCUAGUUCAGUUCUCAUCCAGACACAAAACAAAGUCAAAGUCUGUCGAAAACAGUUAAACAACACAAUCCAACAAAUAAAUAAAAGUUUAAUGAUUGAAAGUUUGAUCAAAUCAUGCAUCUCUCCCCCUUUUUGUCAUCAUUAAAAAGGAUGAGAUGAAGUCAAGAUUGCUUGGGAACGAAGACAAGCUGGAAAUCUUCCAUAGACUGAACGAUGCCUUCCAGCCUUUUGAAGUCUUCCUUCAGCUGUGCAACCUCCUCACUCUUGGCAUUGGCCUGAUUCUGAAUCGAGAGGGCUUGCAUCUUAUCAUUCAAUGUACAGGAAGAAGCUUGACUUUCAUUCUUCAAACUUCGAACUUCACAUCCCAAGGCAUAAAUUUGACCUCUCAUUUCCAAGAGAAUAUCCAUGAUUCUGCGAAAAUCUGCUCCAUUAUUAGUCUGAGUACUUGCUUCGGCUCAAUCUGAUGGAGUAAAUGCAGACGACGGUAGAUCAGCAUAAUCUCGCAGGAUUGGCGAUGAAGCUUCAUGACCUUCCUCUAGAAAUUGAGAUGCAUAAACGUCCUCAGGAUCUGCAGGUGAGCGACUGAUUCCUUCACUUGCAUCAGGAUGUGAAGACGUCACUCCUUUCUCCUGAUCUUCCCCUGUUUCCAUGCCUACAUGUGGAGAAGAGAUUUCCUGAGGCUCUCCUUCUUCUCUUCUUUCUUCUUCAGGUCUUUCUUCCUCUGCUUCUUGCUCUGCUUCUCUUUCUUCUUCUUUCUCCUCUGCUUCUUUCGUCAUUCGUUUCGAUUCUUUCUGUGGAACAGGACGACUUAAAUUCUUCAAAGCCAUUGCAGAGAUGGUGAUGUCUUCGUCAUCAUCUUCAUCCUCAACGAGGAGAGCUCUUCUUCUCUUUGAUGGAGCAACCAUGGGCUCCUUCCCUUUUCUCUUAGCAGCAGAAGAGAGUUGAUGAGAUUUGGCAGGAGUCUUCUCCUUGAAUUUCUCCAAUUCCUUGCUCAGUUCCUUCAGACGCAUUUUGGUCACCAUUUUCAGUCCUACCACCAUAUGAUCGCAUGAUCGAACACAAAAGAUUUGCGGAGGCUGAAUAUUCAGAUGUCUGAAUAACUUCGUAACAAGGCUUGGGUAAGGGAGUUGACCUCUGUCCUUCAUCACUGCUCUAUACAUGUGAAACAUAACAGUAUGAGGGAGAGAAAACUUCUUUCCACAGAGGAUGGCAUACAUCAACUUUGCCUCAGAGCUUGAAAUGUCAGUUUUGGAAGUCGAUUUCGGUUGAAGGCAGUUAAUCACAAUCUUGUGAAGUAGGAUGUUGAAUGCACUCAUCCUUAAGUAGGUGAUCUUCUCAUCUGUUCUCCUGUCCUUCACCAGUUCAAGUGUGGCCCGAGCAAUGGAAACUUUGAUUGGUUGAUAUCUGCCUCUCUCAACUUCUAACACAUCUGCCAGCAUGUCCAUAUCCACAACAUAGUCCUGAUCUUUAACACUGAAAGAGAAUCUAUUCGCAUCCAAAAAGCUAAGAUUUGAAUAGAAAUAAGCAGUUAAUCCAGCAUAGGCCUCAGUAGAGUCAGAGCAGAACUUUUCAAGUUGAAGAAAAUUGAACUUUUCCCUCAAGUUCACUUUCACAGCAUCCAGAAAAUCAAAGUCCACACUCCUAGGGUUUAUUACCCCACGCUUCAGCAAUUUCGAGUACAGAUCCUUUUGUUCCUUUGAUCUGAACAAAUCUCCCAUUUUUCCUUGAAUUUCAGCCGUAAUACCCAUUUUCGGUUUAAAUAGACUGAACAGAUUGUCAUCGUCAUUCCCAUCUACAUGAUUCGGCCCCCAGUCACGAGGAUCACUUGGGAUAUUCGCAAGGGUUUCCUCAACCACCCCUUUACGAGCGAUUCCCAAACUUUCCAUUUUUCGCAGAAAGAUAUAUUCGUUCUUAUAUCCUUUGUCUUUAAGAAAAUCAUCAACAUAGUUCAAAGGAGUAUGAAUUCCUUUUAAGGCACGAUAUAGCUUGUAAAUAAAAGCGGGCUUUUGAACUCUUACGGGAUCUGCAUCCUCGAUGAUUUCUUCUUGAUGCUGAUGAACAACGCCUUGAGGACUAGAUGGUGGAGAAUGACGCUGCUGAGAAUGUUGUGGGCUCACUUGCUGUUCUGGAUUCUCUUCCUCCUCAGUAAGAUCGAAGUGCGUAGGCCCCUCACUCAUUUGCCGUGGACCCUUGCUUGCGAUUCUCGAAGACUUUCUCGAAGAUGACAUCGUUCUCAAUUUUUGGAAGAUUCCUUGCUUGAUUUUCUCAGGAAAGAUGACAACUUUUUGAAGAUUAAUCAAAGAAGACAAAUGGAAAUGGAGGAUCGAUGCUUUCUAGGGUUUUCAAGAGUGAAGUGAAAAGGAAUCGACAGUGCACGAUCGGUUAAAAAGAGAAAUAAACGAACCGUCACAAAGGAAAUAAAAAAAAUGCCUUUUCAAAAUAACUGUCUUCUUCCGCAAAAAUAGCUGUUUCAAAAAUAACUUCCUUUUUGAAAAUGAAACGAUGCAAUAUUUGCGUCGAUUAAAUAUAGCAAUAAUUAAAACACAGUCUGACGAUCGUACCUUUUCAAGAAUAAAUUAGAGAGAGAAAGACUUACAGUCUGACGGUCGAGCCAAGACUGUAGAUAAAGUCUUGUAAGCCUGAGUCUGAAAGUCUUUAGACUUUGAUAUCCUCAUACCUCAAAAUGUUGAGUCUGGAACGAAUAGACUCAAAUUGAUUUUUCUCCAAAGGCUUUGUGAAUAUAUCCGCCAGUUGAUUCUUUGAGUCAACAAACUGAAUUGAAAUCUCUCCAUUUUGAACAUGAUCUCUAAUAAAGUGAUGUCGAAUCUCUAUAUGCUUUGCUCUUGAGUGGAGAAUUGGAUUUUUGGUGAGGUUGAUAGCGCUGGUGUUGUCGCAAUUAAUCUCCGUGCAUGAGUCUUCAAUUUCAAAGUCUCUUAGCUGUUGUUUUAUCCAUAGAAUUUGCGAACAGCAGCUUCCAAGAGCUACAUACUCUGCUUCCGUUGUUGAAAGAGACACAGUGCUUUGUUUCCUUGAAAACCAAGACACUGUCCUUCUUCCAAGCAACUGGCAAGUUCCUGAAGUGCUCUUUCUAUCAACUCUGCAACCGGCCAGAUCUGCGUCUGAAUAUCCCAGAAGAUUAAAGUCUCCAUUCUUAGGAUACCAAAGACCGAUGCUUGAUGAUGAAGCAACGUAUUUAAUGAUGCGUUUUGCAGCACUGAGAUGAGAUUCUCUAGGAUCUGAUUGAAACCUAGCACAGAUGCAAACACUCAACAAAAUAUCAGGUCUAGAGGUAGUAAGAUAAAGAAGUGAUCCAAUGAUGCUUCUGUACAGCUUUUGAUCAACUUUCUUCCCUUCUUCAUCUUUGUCUAUCUUUAAAGAACUUGACAUUGGUAUGUCGGUCUUUUUGCACUUUUCCAGUCCAAACCUUUUGAUAAGAUCAUUAACAUAUUUUUCUUGAUAAAUAAAAGUUCCUUCCUUCAAUUGUUUUACUUGAAGACCAAGAAAGAAUGUUAAUUCUCCCAUCAUACUCAUUUCAAACUCAUCCUGCAUAGACUUAGAAAAUUUCUUGCACAGACUUUCAUUAGUGGAUCCAAAAAUAAUAUCAUCCACAUAUAUUUGAACAAGUAAGAAACUUUUGUUUUCCUUUUUGAUAAAUAAGGUCGUAUCUACUUUACCUUUGACAAAACCAUUUUGUAUUAAGAACUUACUUAAUCUGUCGUACCAAGCCCGAGGUGCUUGCUUUAAACCAUACAAAGCCUUUUUCAGUCUGAAGAUUGAGUCUGGCUUCUUUGGGUCUUCAAACCCUGGUGGUUGUUCCACAUAAACUUCCUCAUGGAUAAAUCCAUUUAGAAAGGCGCUUUUGACGUCCAUUUGGAAUGACCUGAAAUUCUUAUAACAAACAAACGCAAGUAAUAGUCGAAUAGCUUCUAACCUUGCCACUGGAGCGUAAGUCUCAUCAUAGUCUAUUCCUUCUUCUUGCGUAUAUCCCUUGGCCACGAGUCUUGCUUUAUUUCGUAUGACUUUUCCUUUCUCGUUCAUCUUGUUUUUGAACACCCAUUUAGCUCCAAUAACAGCUUUACCUUUUGGUUUGGAUGUCAAUUCCCAGACAUCAUUAAUGUUGAACUGUCUGAGCUCUUCUUGCAUAGCUUCAAUCCAGCUUUCAUCAGAUAAAGCUUCUUCUAUGCUCUUUGGUUCAAUUUCAGAAACGAGUGCCACAGCACUAGACUCUUCUCGCCUUUUGGAUCUGGUGCGAAUUCCUUCAUUAAUUUCGCCAAUUAUAAGAUCUUUGGGAUGACUGGACUUAUGCUUCUAGUUACUUGUUGAUUUGUCUGAUUGAUGAUCUCUUUCUUUAUUUGGAUCUUCACUAACAACCUGAUGUUGGUUUUCCAGAGUCUGAGAUGCUUCUUGAGUUGUAGACUUUGGAGGGUCUGGAGCAGGUUCAGACUCUUCUUGAUGAGUCUGACUUGAUUCAUCUUGCGUUGAGUCUUGAAAUUUGACAUUCAUUGACUCCUCCACAGACUGGCUCUUCUUGUUAUAGACUCUGUAGGCUUUGCUUGAUGUAGAAUAUCCAAGGAAGAUACCUUCAUCUGAUCUUUCUUCAAACUUACCAACUCGAUCUUUUGCAUUUUUCAAUAUAAAACAUUUGCAACCAAAUACAUGAAAGUAUGAAACAAUAGGCUUCUUAUCUUUGAAUAACUCAUAAGGGGUUUUAUGUAGAAUAGGUCUUAAGAAAACUCUAUUGAUGAUAUAGCAAGCUGUUGAAACAGCUUCAGCCCAAAAUCGUGAAGAAAUCUUACUUUCAAUUAAAAGAGUUCUAGCCAUCUCUUGAAGAGAUCUGUUUUUUCUUUCCACAACUCCAUUUUGCUGAGGAGUAUAUGGAGAGGAGAACAUAUGCUUAAAGCCAGAUUCAUCACAGAAUUUUGUAAAAUCUUGAUUUUCAAAUUCACCUCCAUGAUCUGUUCUUAUACUAGAGAUAACACAUCCUUUUUUCAUUUUGAACCUUUUUAGCAAAUUUUUCAAAAUACGAAAAGGUUUCGGACUUACUUGCAAGGAAAUAUACCCAAGUAAAACGGGAGUAAUCAUCAACAAUUACUAGGCAAUACUUCUUACCCCCAAUACUUUGAGUUCUGGUUGGUCCGAAGAGAUCCAUAUGUAGCAACUGUAAUACAUGAUUAGUAGAGACAUGAUUUAUUGGCUUAAAUGAAUUUCUUACCUGCUUUCCCAGAAUACAUGGAGUGCAUGAAUCAGUCUUUUGGUAUGGCAGUUUGGGUAGACCUCAAACAAGCUGCUUUGAUGAGAUUUUGGCUAAUUGCUUCAUGUUGACAUGACCAAGCUUUUUGUGCCAUAAGCUUGCUUCGUCUUGAAUUGAGAUAAGACAUUGCGAUUCAUUUGGUUUCACAUCCAGAAGAUAGAUAUUUCCAUGUCUUCGACCCAUGAAAGACUGAGUAGAGUCUUUACUGAUUCCAGAACAUGUUCCUUCUUGAAAGAAGAUCUUGAAACCAGUAUCACACAAUUGACUAAUGCUGAGAAGAUUGUAAUUGAGUCCUUCUACUAAGGAAACAUUACUUAUUGUGAGAGUUCCGAUUUUCACGGUUCCAAAUCCCACAAUACUUCCUUUGCUGUUUCCUCCAAAUGAAACUUUUCCACCGUUUACUUGAGCAAGCUUUAUAAAGCAAUUUGAGUCUCCUGUUAUGUGUCUUGAACAUCCGUUGUCAAGAUACCACUUUACAUGUUUCUUGACGGAGACCUGCAUUUAAAAUAAAGUCUCAAGCUUUCUUUGGUACCCAAAUUUUCUUGGGUCCUUUGGUGUUAGUAAUAUAAACAGUAUUAGCCCAUACUUUCUUAACAGGUUUCCAUAUCAUAGGACACUCUUUUUCAAAGUGAUCCGGACUGUUGCACUUUGAACAUCUGAGAGCAUUUCUACCUACAGGUUUUACAAAAACUUUCUUGAAAUGAUUUUUGUAAGCCUCUUUCGAGGGUCUUUUCUUAAUUCUUUCUUUUACUUUAGGAAAAUCAAUCAAGGGAAUUGUUUCUGCUGACAUACCUAGACCAGACUUAUUGAAGUAAGGUUUUUGAGCUGAAAGAAUUUUUUCAAGUUUCUCAGACCCUAUUGAAAAUUUCUUUGAAAUAUUUGAUAAGUCUGUUUUUAAAAGAGCAUUUUCUUUUAAAAGAUUAUCUUCAUUUUCUUUAAGAGUGGAAACAGUCAAGUCUAGACUUUUAACUCUUUCUACUAAAACAUUUUCCUUUUGUUUUAGAGCUGAGUUUUCCUUUUUCAAUUCAGAAAUUCUUUUGAGAGAAGUCUUAAGACUAAAACACAGUUCAUCAAUGUAUUUAGAAACUUUGACAGGAAUUUUAAAAUUACUUGCCUCAAAUUCAUUAUCUGAGUCUGAUCCAAAGUCUGAUCCGGAGUCUGAGUCUGAUUGUGCCAUCAGACAUAGAUUGGCAUAUUCAUUAUCACUUUCUUCACACUCAGUAUCACUCCAGGUUUCAGCUUUGAGAGCUUUUCGGAAUUUUUCAGCUUUUCCUCUCUUCUUCUUCAGAAGAGGAUAGUUGGGUCUGAUGUGUCCCUUCUUCUUGCAUUCAAAGCAGAUUACAUCUUUAUUUGGUUCCUCAUCAUCAACAGAUUUGGUCUGUUGUCUUUGAAAGCUUUGUUUCUUUGAGUUGAACCUUCUUCCUUUUCUAUUCAGUUUUCUGAAUCUCCUUAUCAUGAGAGCAAGCUCCUCAUCGUCCAUAUUAUCUUCAGAAUCUGUAUCAUCAGAAUCAUCAUUUGAUUUUAAUGCAAUGGAUUUCUUACCUUUUGGAUCUUCAUCUUCAUUGAUCCUUUCCACUUCAUAAGACUGAAGAGUUCCAAUCAGCUCGUCGACAGAUAGUGGCAUAAUUCUUUGCGUCUCUCUUAUCGAAGUCUUUAUGUGAUUCCAAUCCUUGGAGAGUCCACGCAGUAGCUUGUUUACCUUCAUGGGAUCAAAAAUUUUUUGUCCUUGAUUCUCAAGACCAUUGACAAUAUAUGUAAAACGACUAAACAUGUCAGUUAUAGAUUCUCCUGGUUUCAUUUUGAAGGCUUCAUAUUGACCGAGAAGAAUGUUAAUUCUGGUUUCCUUCACUCGAUCUGUUCCUUCAUAGGUGAUAUGUAAUCUGUCCCAGACUUCUUUUGCUGUAACACAAGAAGAUAUUCUAUUAUAUUCAGUUGGUGACAAAGCACAAUAUAAAGAGUAAAUUGCUUUUGCAUCGAGUGCUUGUCUCUUGUUUAUCUCUUCCUGAGUCAUUCCGCUGGUCUCAACAGUUUCUUUCCCUCUUUCAGAGACUGAUGCAACUGUAGGAGUAAUUCCUUUUUCUACAACGUCCCAUUCCAGAGGAUCCUUUGAUCGUAGGAAAGCUUUCAUCUUGUUUUUCCAGAUGUUGUAAUCCUUUCCAUCAAAGUAGGGUGGUCUGGUAUUGCUUUGCCCUUCCAUCAGCCCUGGUGUUAGCAUACUAGCCAUGGAUCUUUAACUCUGAAGUAAAACAUUUCAAACAAAGUGAGUACACAGGCUCUGAUACCAAUUGAGAUAGCUAGUAUAAACACCUAGAGGGGGGGGAAUAGGCGCACAAACAAUUUGUCGAAAUACGGAAACAAUUCUUAACAAAAUGAAAUACGAUCGAGGUAUAGAGAGAGAGAGAAAAUUGAACACAGGAUUUAUAGUGGUUCGGCUUAUUCCAAGCCUACGUCCACUCUUCCGCACUGACAGCCCACCGGCUGAAUUUCACUAUGAUCAAAAGAGAAGUUACAGCACAGCUUUGCCUUGAUUCCACAGUGUAGAUGUUCUACCACACCUUCUCAAGGUUUCUCACAAAUAUAGACUCUCUUUUGUAUACAAGUAUUCGCUCAAAGGAAUUGUCUAAACAAAAAGGAGCUUCAGACUUUGGAAUUCAUCUAUCGCGCACACCUCGAACAACUAAGAACGUCUUCCUUAUAUACUCCUUUAUGCCAUCAUACUCGUUAGCACUUACCAAAGGAAUUCCUCCAAUCUACCCGUUGGACGGAAUCAAUUAGGAAGAUUGUUCGAGCUAUUAAAGGAACAUGUUGAUAGCCCAUCAAUCCUGUUCGCCCAUACAAUCAGGAUCUCGGUUUCCAUAAGUAGAACCUUCCAAUAAUAUUUAGACAAUCAUCGAAUCUUCAAUCAUUGAAUCAAUCUUGAUCAAUCAAAGGAUUCUGUUACGUCUUCUCCAACCACGAGAUCUUCUCCAGAUGAUAAGGAUAAAUCCUGAACAAAACAUCCAGUUCUGGAUAACCUUUCUUCAACGGAUUAGAGACUGUCAAUGAGGAUAGACUUUGAGUCUUGAGUCUGGCUGUCCGGAAGUCUUCAGACUUUAAAUAACAGAGUCUGCAGACCUUCAGACUAGACUGAUGAAACGUUUUGUCAACUUCAAAACACUUCACGAGGAUUUCUCCAACAUGGAGCCCUUCAGGAGAUCCCGCCAUCUUUCAAGAAGAAGGUCCCUCCACUUCUUUGCACCUAUCAAAUUUUUGAAUAUACGUUCAAGAUUGACAUUAUCGAGGAAGCAUGGAGCAUGUGCUAUCGCAAAAGGAUCGUGGUACCUAAAGGGCUUGAGGGAGAAGAAAAGGCCCACCACGACUCCAUGUCCUACAUCCACAACCAUCGUAUUCCAACAAAAUGGAAGCCGUCAGUCCCUUACUCAAUCAGCAAGAGCAGCCAACACGAGCAAGCAAAACUCGUGGAGAGGGAUUUGGGAAUGGACUGGAUACCCACCUCAGAGCCGGUCCAAGAAAGCAAGCAUCUGCGCAAGCGCAAGGCUCCCCGUCACAUAUAAAUUGACAAUCAUGUGCCCCUUAGUGUUAAUAGUGUGAAAGUUUUGUCCCAUUGUUUAUGGACUUUUAUUUAAUAUCUAGUAUUUUAUUCUGUCAUUUCAAUUUCAAGUUUUAGAUGUCAGAAGUCUAAGGUCUAUAAAAUCCUCUUUUGAUAAAUAAAAAAACAGUUAGAUCAUUGCCAUGGGUCAAUCUUUGUUUACUUUCGUGCUCAUUCAUUGUUUUCGCAACGACAGGUAAUUAUGAAUCGCCGGCCACCAAUCGCUCGCAAAUGGCCUCAUGCAAUAAGGCCCAAUCAGAAUGAUGUACAAAAUCGCCUCAUUAACAUUGAAGACGGCGUGGGACAGAUGUCCAUUGUCCUUCAACAACUCUCGAGACAAAUGAAAUCUACUCAAGCUGAGGCCAACUCUGUAGUUGCCUUAAACACCAUCAUGACACCCGCAAAUUUGCUAAAAAAUAGCGAGUACCAUAGACAGUUUGAAAGGAUCAUGAAAAAGUUAAGCCAGCUGCAGGAGCAGAAUCCCAUGGACCUGUACAAUUACGCCCACACUGAGAUCCCUGAAAAACUCAAAGCACCUGAAUGCGAAAGGUAUGCUGAUACCUCCCGCCUAGAGACCUACUUGCAGGCCUACUUGGUUCGAAGGAUGAUCCAAUCGUACCAAUCAAGCUUGACUGGCCCUGCCUUGCGAUGGUACAUUGUUAGGAAGAUUAGUCCCCUUAAAACCUGGAGGGAACUAAUUAUGUUUUUCACCAAGAGUAUAAUAUUGACAUCACCUUGCCUUAUGAAGAGCCGAUGAUCGCGGAGCACGAGGAGCCGUUAGUCGCUGAGGUAGGAGAGGAGCAUGUCAAUGAAGCCUUGCAUAAUAAAUGGGCGACUGAGCAACAUCCUGUUAUUGAAAAAUUUCCCACUAGGAAGGGCAAGGAGCCUUUGUACGAGAUCAUGGACUUAGAGCCUGUUCAAGAGCGGGGCACGGCUGGACAACUCCCCAAGCUUACUCCAAGAGUUAGGGUCCAAAGAAUACCAACCCUAUCAACUUGGAAAGUGAAUCAGACAGUGAAACUCUAAUCGAGCUGGCAAAACGAAAGGCCUUACUCAAAAGGUCUAGACCAGAAGCAAAGAAAAGAAAGCCUAAGCAGAUCAAUUCAGCAUCCGCCGACGAGCCAACGCACCAAAGCUUCGAGCAUUCCCAAGAAUACAGCUUUGAAGGCUACCGUCCUCUAGAGUACAACCCUGAAGACUUCCCGGCCCUAGAAUACAAUCCCAAGGACUUCCAGCAUUAUUUCGACAAUGAAAUUGACGAUUUAUCGUAUAACUGUUUUUUACUCUCAUCCGGGGAUGAAGGCCCGUCAGAAGAGGAAGCAUAUGUCUUUAUCCGCUACGAUCCUAACGAAAUAUUAAGUUCGUCCUCUGACCAUGAGGAUAGCUUCAAUACUUCAUCUUCAUUCGGAAAUUUUGACCAAGAAGAAAGCAAUGGGGUAAUCUCGGUAGAAUCCAACUUCCCUGAAACAGAAAAAUUCACCACUAUAACAAAUAUGCAGUGGGAAAACCAGUGGCCUAACCAGGAUACAUCAAGCCCAUCUUACGCUCAUAGGAUCAUGACCCCUAGAGAGAUGUGGAUACCUAAUCUCCGUAAGUAUAAUGGUACAACUUGCCCCGUGGCUCAUUUGUAGUACCUCCACACUGAAAUGAAUCGGUACUAUGGCUCGAUGUCAUUCACAACUCAGGCCUUCCAAGAAAGUCUUACGGGGUCAGCAUUACAAUGGUUCAUCACAUCAGAUAUCUACCUCAUGAGAGAUUGGAAUGAGCUGUCUUCUACAUUCCCGCUUCAGUAUCAAAGCCAAAUUGGGACUGAAGUGCCUUGUCAGAACUUGGUUCACUUUAGAAGAAGACCAACGGAGGAUUUCCGAGUGUAUGCAAGGAGGUUUAAGGCUUUUAUGAUGCAAACUUACCCUUAACUGGCCAAAGAAGAAAUGAUAAAGCUAUUCAUAAGGGCUUUACCUCGCAAGCAUCGUUGUUGGUUGCAUGGGUUGCACUUCCAUAGCUUCAAUGAAGUGAUCCUUUCAUGCGAAUACUUCGAGUUUACUGGAGACGAGGAACUCAAAGGCGCUUGAUUUCAGAACCAACACUAUCAAAACAUUCCUUUACAAAGGAGUUUUCAUGGGUUUUACUUGUUUUUAUAAUUUCAUGUUUCUUAUCUUGUCUAAUGUGCUACUGUUGUAUUUUCCAUUCCGAAUACUCUAUUGUACAGUUAUAAUAUUUUGUUUUAAGAGCAUGAGGCGGUACUCCAAACCAGCCCAGUGAUGUUGUCCAACCAUGAAAAGAAAAUAUUAUCCAAGGGGAAUACUGAGAGCAGGGCUUCCUCAUGCUUUUUUUCCCCCAAAAAUGUAUUUUGAAAAUAAAAAAUAUUUCAUCACCCAAAAGCUUUUGUCAAAACAAGAUGAUAAAUUUAAGUACGUUUGUCUUUCUAACCCUCUCACUUUAUGUUUCAGAACAUCAUCCCCUUUGAUUUAGUGUGACAAAAGGUAUUUGAAACUAGCACAUCGUGUGAACAGACCAAACUUGAGAACACAUUUUCAAGAAAGCAGGGGCAAACAGAAAGGAGCAUCAUGUUUCAAAAAAGGGUAAGUCUUAUUCCCUUAACAUAAUAUUGAGAAUGAUAACCCCUCUCUUCUAUUUACAGGAUACAAAAGGUGAGACGUAAUAGGUAUAGGCAUACAGUUGAAAUCGAAGCAUCCAUGACAUGCCUCACUCCUGCCUAGCUCCAUCCUAAGCCAAAUGACUAUCUUGUCGCACAACAUGCCCAAACAGCUAGAUGUUAUAGUUUCAAUUUCGACGAGCCUAGAAGCAUAAGGAAGAAGUUCAUUCUCUUCCUUUAAAGUGAUUACUAUUAACAGGGAGAAAAUCCAAACAAUCAAGGCGAUCUAUAGCCCCACACCCUGGAUAAUGACUUUGGAAUCUAGAAGCUUCACUCCAGACACAUAUUCUUCCAAGGAGUAAUUGCCAUUAGAAAGCUUGAGAUUUUUUUAUCGCAGAUUCCAUAGAAGCUUGAGGUACAUGACUUUUGCCCAAUGAUGUUAUAGUUAAAGACAGAAGGAGAAAUUCCACAAAAAGAAGGCGUUGAAGAUGAAUCAACAACUAGCAAUCAUGCAUACAUAGUCACAAAUGAGGAAGGCCAAUUGAAGGAAACAUUGAACUAUGCCAAGAUAAAGAGGCCAUCAUUGACAUUCAAAUAUCUUUAGGAGCUAGCAUAGACAAACUCUGGGGAAGGGUAAUUUGGUAUCGUUUCCAAUACUCCCACUAUUAAAACCCGCUUUUGACAUAUUUUCCCUAUUUGACAGGGAGCAUCACAACUCAAGAACCAAACUCAAUGGUUAGGUUUGACAAAUCAAUACUGGCCAAGCUAGUAUACGGAAAUGACCUGCAUCGAAUUCACUUGACUUCGUGUAAAGGGGCGUGUCAUCCAGGAGCCAAUUCAAAGAAUAAUUGACCUAAUGAAGCAAUGGACAUAGGACUUCAUGUCUCCCUCUCACUUCAGGUUCACCCAAUCAUCUGCAAACCAAUGAAGGGUAAAGUUGUAUCGAUUCCAGUUAUUCGACUCUUGAAAGAGUUCUUGACUGAUACAUUCCCUCUUGUUUGUUGCAGGAUCACCUGACUGUCAAAAGCAUGGAUAACAAAUCAAUGAGAAGCAUGUCUUGUUGCAAGAUCACUUGACUGUCAAAAACAAGGAUAACAAAUCAAUGAGAGGCAUGACAAACUCUCCUAAACGAAAUGACGUCCUAAGUAAUUGCCAAAACAAAUAACAGAAAAUCUUCAGACCUCAACCCACGUUUAAUUUUGGCCAGACUAAUUGAUCUACUUGUACAUCUUCUUUUCUGCAAGGGCAAAAGCAAAAAGACCCGUCAAAUCAAUGAUCAGAUCCCUAACAUUGACUGAUCAUUUGUGUGUCAUAUCCCUAAUCAAUCGGGACGACCAUCGACACCCAUUUGUGAAUAACCCUUUGUAAAUAACUCUUUUAAUGUUCAUAUUUCAACACAUUUGUGAAUACCGUUCCACCAAGUAAACACCCCUAAAGCUGUUAAUAAGUUUUUCUUGAGUAAAAAGCCAUUCAUUUAUUUUGAGAGUACAAACUCCAUCACAUCAUACACUGCAUGCCUUUUUCCAAGUGAAUUCUGCAUGAUGAUUUUGUCUGUCUAAAUCACUGAUUCCAUUGAGAAUUAUUAGAAUAGACAACUAAUUGAAAAAUACAAGAUUGAUUGAGCAUGCUAGAUGAGGCGCGUCAGAAUGAUGACAGGCAAGCCAUAUCCUACACACAGUCCCCCAUCUACACACUUGUGAGAUAAGUGCAGAAGAUUCUAUGGCUGCAGGGUAAAGAGUUCUCUCACAAAUGGUACGAUAACCAAAAUAGUGAGAGGCAUUCCAUCGCUCACCCCAUUGAGCCCCAUACACUAGUGAAGCUUCUCUCAUACCCCCAUCAAGAACCACCCCACAUUGAGGUAGAGCGGGGGCAAAGCAGCAUCACAAGGUGAGAAGAGAGAUAAAAAUUUUCUUGCUCGCACUUGCAUCAAUCUUCGGGUGUCUUUAUUGCAUAUGAACACUCUCGUUAAUUAAGUGCCAUGGAAUGACGAAGAGCAAUUCUUUCUGCACUUGUAUUCAUUGUACAACCCAAUUGAGUCUAUAAUUUCACCAUCUCAUGGAGGCAAAACAGAAGUUACUACCAUUUAAACAGCAUAGCUUGGAGCGCUAGCUGAAGUCGAUGACUCAAGAGUCUAACAACAGUGUCGUGAUUGAACUUGCCUAGGCUAGUUCCUCUAACGACAAGAAUAAAAAAACAUGGGCAUACAAAAGCAGUGUACCUGGUAAAAGCAAGGUCAAUGCCCAUGAAUGAAUAAUCGGAAUAAAAAUAGGGGCAUGAAAAAAGCAAUGUGCCUGGUAAAAGCAAGGCCAAUGCCCUCCAGUCAAAAAUACAGCCAAGAAAAAGUUGCUGUUGUGGUCCAUAGAACCUCUAUCUAACAGUGAGAAGAAAGACCGGUGACAAAUGCCAAGACAGUCACGAACUCUCAUCCUCUUACAUGUAAGCCAAGUCUACGUUACAUUCCCAUUGUAAAAGUCUCUUCAGACUAGAGGCGCUUCAAUUAACGUAUGAUUUCAUAUGUUCAUAAGCAUCGCUCGAAGAAGUACGAGCAAGAUUACUCUAUCUCUUUUCGUAGGAUUCUUAACUUGCAAACCCGAAGAGGUUCGUGCGGCACUCCAUUCAUAAGCCUUGAUCUUGAUGGUCCCCUUUGAUGAGCCGCUAACCAAGACUUCAUCACAGUUUCAACAAAGACCUCUCACAUUGGUAAAGUCGUACUGUUUGUGAGAAUACUCAGACCCCUACUGACAUGAUGACAGUGAGAUAGUGCGGUCUUUAUAAAUCUUGCAUUAAUGGUAAGGAUAGCCUUUUCCAUGAGAGUGAGUGAAAAGUUCUUUCAGACUGAAAGUCCCUCAUCUGGCAUGCUCAAGACAUCUACAUUCUAAAUGAAUGUUGUCUUUCAAAAUCUUCCCCGGUGGAAAUAAGAUGAUGCAAAAUUGACAAAAUUAUCAUGUAUGAAUCUCAUUUGAACUCAUGACUUUAUAGCAUAUACAAUCAUGUGUGCAUAUUGUGCAAAUAACAGACAUACUCUCAUAGGUCAGAGAUAUUGCCAAGUAAGCAUAUCCCUAUCCCCAUUGUCUUAAAGUACCUACCACUGUCCAGGUACUCUCUUCUUGACACUCGACCUAUUCGAGUUGUCCCUUGAGUUUGGGUGCUUACAACCGUCUAAGUAUCCCCUUGUAUUUAAGUACCCACCACUUGCCGGGUACUCCCUUUUUCUUGACACUCGACCUAUUCGAGUUGUCCCCAGAGUAUUGAUACUUGUGACUGACCAAGUAUCCCUUUAUUGUUGAAUACCUACUGCGGUCUAGGUAUCCUUAUAUCGUCAAGUACCCACCAUUGUCCAGGUACUUCCUUUUCAUGACACUCAACCUGCCCGAGUUGUCUCCAAAUAAUAACAGCUGUUUGAGCAUUCCAUUUGCUUUGCUUGGCACAGCCGUCCAACUACCCAGGUGUCCCAACCCAUUCGAGUGCCUGUGGCCAUCCAGGUAAGCCUUGUACCACAUUCAAAUUCUCAAUUACAAAAGGUGAGAGACCUUCAUGAAUAUUCAGGGCACGUCCUCGAUAUUCCCCAUACCAGGAGGUGAGAGACCUUCAUGAAUAUCCAAGGUACGUCCUCGAUAUUCCCAACUACCAGGAGGUGAGAGACCUUCACGAAUAUCUCAGGUACAUCCUCGAUAUUCCCAAUUACCAGGAAGUGAGAGACCUUCAUAAAUAUCUCAGGUAUGUCCUCGAUAUUCCCCAUACCAGGAGGUGAGAGACCUUCAUGAAUAUUCGGGGCACGUCCUCGAUAUUCCCCAUACUAGGAAGUGAGAGACCUUCAUAAAUAUUCCUGGCACGUCCUCGAUAUUCUCAAUUACCAGGAGGUGGGAGACCUUCAUGAAUAUCCAAGGUACGUCCUCGAUAUUCCCAACUACCAGGAGGUGAGAAACCUUCACGAAUAUCUCAGGUACGUCCUCAAUAUCCCUAAUUACCAGGAGGUGAGAGACCUUCAUGAAUAUCUCAGGUACGUCCUCGAUAUUUCCCAUACUAGGAGGUGAGAGACCUUCAGGAAUAUUCUGGGCAUGUUCUCGAUAUUCCCCAUACUAGGAUGUGAGAGACCUUCAUGAAUAUUCGGGGCACAUCCUCAAUAUUCCCAAUUACCAGGAGGUGGGAGACUUUCAUGAAUAUCUCAGGUACACCCUCGAUAUUCCACAUACCAGGAGGUGAGAGACCUUUAUUAAUAUUCGUGGCACGUCCUCGAUAUUCCCCAUACCAGGAGGUGAGAGACCUUCAUGAAUAUUCGGGGUACGUCCUCGAUAUUCCCAAUACCAAGAGGUGAGAGACCUUCAUGAAUAUUCGAGGCACGUCUUCGAUAUUCCGAUUACCAGGAGGUGAAAGACCUUCAUGAAUAUUCGGGGCACGUCCUCGAUAUUCCCCAUAUCAGGAGGUGAGAGACCUUCAUGAAUAUUCGAGGCACGUCCUUGAUAUUCCCCAUACCAGGAGGUGAGAGACCUUCAUGAAUAUCCAAGGUACGUCAUUGAUAUUCCCAACUACCAGGAGGUGAGAGACCUUCACGAAUAUCUCAGGUACGUCCUCGAUAUUCCCAAUUACCAGGAGGUGGGAGACUUUCAUGAAUAUCUCAGGUACGUCCUCGAUAUUCCUUAUAUCAGGAGAUGAGAGACCUUCAUGAAUAUUCGGGGCACGUCCUCGACAUUUCCAAUACUAGGAGGUGAGAGACCUUCAUGAAUAUUCGGGGCACGUCCUUGAUAUUCCCCAUACCAGGAGGUGAGAGACCUUCAUGAAUAUUCAUGGCACGUCCUCAAUAUUCCCAUUACCAGGAGGUGAGAGACCUUUAUGAAUAUUCGAGGCACGUCCUCGAUAUUCCCCAUACCAAGAGGUGAGAGACCUUCAUGAAUAUUCAUGGCACGUCCUCGAUAUUCCCAUUACCAGGAGGUGAGAGACCUUUAUGACUAUUCGGGGCAUGUCCUCGAUAUUCCCCAUACCAAGAGGUGAGAGACCUUCAUGAAUAUUCGGGGCACGUCCUCGAUAUUCCCCAUACUAGGAGGUGAGAGACCUUCAUGAAUAUCCAAGGUACGUUCUCGAUAUUCCCAACUACCAGGAGGUAAGAGACCUUCACAAAUAUCUCAGGUACGUCCUCGAUAUUCCCAAUUACCAGGAAGUGGGAGACCUUCAUGAAUAUCUCAAGUACGUCCUCAAUAUUCCCCAUACCAGGAGGUGAGAGACCUUCAUGAAUAUUUGGGACACGUCCUCGAUAUUCCCCAUAUCAGGAGGUGAGAGACCUUCAUGAAUAUUCGGGGCACGUCCUCGAUAUUCCCCAUACCAGGAGGUGAGAGUCCUUCAUGAAUAUUCGGGGCACGUCCUUAAUAUUCCCCAUACCAGGAGGUGAGAGACCUUCAUGAAUAUUCGGGGCACGUCCUCGAUAUUCCCCAUACUAAGAGGUGAGAGACCUUCAUGAAUAUCCAAGGUAUGUCCUUGAUAUUCCUAAUUAUCAAGAGGUGAGAGGCCUUCACGAAUAUCUCAGGUACGCCCUCGAUAUUCUCAAUUACCAGGAGGUGGGAGACAUUCAUAAAUAUCUCAGGUACAUCCUCGAUAUUCCCCAUACCAGGAGGUGAGAGACCUUCAUGAAUAUUCGGGGCACGUCCUCGAUAUUCCCAUUACCAGGAGGUGAGAGACCUUCAUGAAUAUUUAGGGUACGUCCUCGAUAUUCCAACUACCAAGAGGUGAGAGACCUUCUUGAAUAUGCGAGACCCAUCCUCAAUAUUCCCAACUAUCAUGAGGUGAGAGACCUUCAUGAAUAUCCAAGGUACAUCCUCGAUAUUCCAACUACUAGGAGGUGAGAGACCUUCAUAAAUAUCCAAGGUAUGUCCUCGAUAUUCCAACUACCAGGAGGUGAGAUACCUUCACGAAUAUAUGAGACCCAUCCUCAAUAUUCCCACUACCAGGAGGUAAGAGACCUUCACAAAUAUCCCAGUACACCCUCGAUAUUUCCCAAUUGCCAGGAGGUGGGACAUCUUCACAAAUAUCCAAGGUAUGUUCUCAAUAUUUCCAAUUAUUAAGUACCCCAUCGAUACUUGUGAAUGUGCAAUUAUUCCGCAAGAAUUGAUACUUGUGAUCAUCCAAAUACCCCUUCAAUGCCUAUGGUCAACCAAAUACCCAUUUUGAUGCUUGCAAAGGCCCAAAUAUCCUUCAGGUUAGUACUUGUGAUUAUCCAGGUACUCUUUGAUAUGCUUGUGAAUGUCCAGGUAUCUUCCAGAAUCGAUGCCCUGAGAAAGGUUGGCACAUCCUCCCGAGAAAAGUCGGGUACCAACUGUUGUCUUUGACAAAGGUCAGACACCCCCACAAAACAGAUGCUCUGAGAAAAGUUGGCGCAUCUCCCGAGAAAAGGUCGGGUACCAACUAGUGUCCUCGUUGCAAAUUAGGCACCCACAAAUGAGAUGCCCUGAGAAAGGUCGGUGCAUCUCCUGUCAAAGCGACUGAAGAACGGUUCGGGUCCUAGACAAAUCAUUGAUUGUUUUAAUAGGUGACCGAAGAAUGGUUCAGGUCUUGGAGAAGUAAUUUCCCGUUACGGCGACCGAAGAAUGGUUCCGGUCCGAGACAAACCACUGAUUUCUCUAACGGGCGACCGAAGAAUGGUUCGGGUCCUAGAGGAGCAAUCUCCCAUCAAGACGACCGAAGAAAGGUUUAGGUCCUAGACAAAUCAUUGAUUACUCUAACAGGCGACCGAAGAAUGGUUCGAGUCCUAGAGAAGCAAUUUCCCGUCAUGGCGACCGAAGAAUGAUUCGGGUCCGAGACAAACCGCUUAUUGCUUUAACAGGCAACCGAAGAAUAGUUCGGGUCCUAGAGGAGCAAUCUCUCGUCAAGGCGACCGAAGAAAGGUUUGAGUCCUAGACAAAUCAUUGAUUGUUUUAAUAGGUGAUCGAAGAAUGGUUCGGAUCCUGGAGAAGCAAUUUCCUGUCACGGCGACCGAAGAAUAGUUCGGGUCCGAGACAAACCACUGAUUGCUCUAACAGGCGACCGAAGAAUGGUUCGGGUCCUAAAGGAGCAAUCUCCCGUCAAUGCGACCGAAGAAAGAUUCGGGUCCUAGACAAAUCAUUGAUUGUUUUAACAGGUGACCGAAGAAUGGUUCGGGUCCUGGAGAAGCAAUUUCCCGUCACGGUGACCGAAGAAUGGUUCGGGUCUGAGACAAACCACUAAUUGCUCCAACAUGCGAUCGAAGAAUGGUUCGGGUCCUGGAGGAGCAAUCUCCCGACAAGGCGACCGAAGAAAGGUUCGGGUCCUAGACAAAUCAUUGAUUGUUUUAACAGGCGAUCGAAGAAUGGUUCGGGUCCUGGAGAAGCAAUUUUUCCGUUAAGGCGACCGAAGAAAGGUUCGGGUCCUAGACAAAUCAUUGAUUGUUUUAACAGGCGAUCGAAGAAUGGUUCGGGUCCUGGAGAAGCAAUUUCCCGUUAAGGCGAAGAAAGGUUCAAGUCCUAGAUAAAUCAUUGAUUGUUUUAACAGGUGACCGAAGAAUGGUUCAGGUCCUGGAGAAGCAAUUUCCCGUCAUGGCGACCGAAGAAUGGUUCGGGUCCUGGAGAAGCAAUCUCCCAUCAAGGCGACCGAAGAAAGGUUCGGGUCCUAGACAAAUCAUUGAUUGUUUUAACAGGCGACCGAAUAAUGGUUUGGGUCUGAGACAAACCGCUGAUUGCUCCAACAGGCGACCGAAGAAUGGUUCGGGUCCUAGAGGAGCAAUUUCCCGUCAAGGCGACCGAAGAAAGGUUCGCGUCCUAGACAAAUCAUUGAUUGUUUUAACAAGCGACCGAAGAAUNNNNNNNNNNNNNNNNNNNNNNNNNNNNNNNNNNNNNNNNNNNNNNNNNNNNNNNNNNNNNNNNNNNNNNNNNNNNNNNNNNNNNNNNNNNNNNNNNNNNGCCUUAAUACUUGCCAACUCGGGGUUCACACCCUAUCUCACUUACUCCCGGUAAGUAAUUACAGGUAUCUUCUUAUCUGUCUUAGUAUAUGUAAUGUUAUAUCGCUCUUUUUGCAUAGGAUAAUAGGUCCCAAGUAAAAUAUAAUCUGUUACGCAUGAAUGGAUAAAAUGUAGGCAUCAAUUUGUCUUUGAAUGCAACCUCUGCGAGCUCACCUUCAAAGAGAGGUAGCUGUUGACGCCUUAAAUUUCCUUUUAAUUAAUUAGGUUUUACUUUAAUUUAAUUUAAUUUAAUUUAAUUUAAUUUAUUUUAUCUUUUUCGGAUAAAAAAAUAAUAAUGAACGAAAAAACAGAAAAAACAAGAAAAAAAAUAGAAAAAAGCCCCUCCUCUGGGCCUCCUUGGCCCAUUUCCCCCUCAACCCGGCCAAGCUAGGUCUUCUUCUUCCUCGUGCUGUUGCAACACACGCGCCGGAGGGCGCGACGCCGGAGCAAACGGAAUGAACAGCGACGCACAUGGAGCAACUGGCACUGGACGGCGAUGGGACAUGGAGUAGGGGGUAGCUAGCGUCGGAUGGGAUGCUGGUUCGGCCGGCGAGGGCCACGGUAGCCGCCGGUCGAGCUCCAUCGAUCGGCCGCCCCUCAGCCUAUAAAUAGGCCUCCAUUUCCGUCGUUAGAGGCACACACACAGACGGCAAAGAGGAGAUCACUGACGAUAAGCUUCGAUAGCUUCCCCUGAGAGACUUCAGGUGAGGCCCAAAGAUGAGCCACCGAAGAUCUUAAGUCUAGCCGGAGAAGCGAGCUCGAGAGGGAGAGAGACAGACGACGAAGGAUCGAGGGCUGCGAAUCUCGAACCUCCCACUGAGAGACUUCAGAGGGGGGGCCGAGGACGAGCAGACCAAGAUCCAGAUCUGGCCGGAGGAGAGAAGUUCUGAGCAGAGGAGGUGAGAUCCGAGGGCGACGGUAGGUUAGAUCUAAUCAGAUCUGGGAGACGACACUGCUUCGCCGCCACCUGCCGAGCCACCGCCGCCACCUGCUAAGCCACCACCGCCAUCCCUGACAUUGUCAACCGCCCAUGCCGAAGCUCCAGCCAGCCACCGUGUUCGCUAUCGUCCUCCGACGCUGUCCGACGCAAACCGAGACCUCUGCAGAGCCGCGUCAUGCACCCUCUGACGUCAUCGCCAACCGCUCGCUCGCCAUCCGCCACCUCACCACAGGUAAUAAAGGUCAUCGUCGUCAUCGUCGCCACCGUAGCCACCGUUGCCAUCAUCACCAUCGCAGUCGUUGCCGCCAUUGCCCCGGCGAUGCUUCGUUCCCCUCCCCCCCCCUCAGCGCUGCGAAUCAGGAACCCUAGGGUUCCCGAUUUUUCGGGUUGCGACUCCGGGUCGUAAGGUCGAACCCGGCCCAGGAACUGGGUAGGGUUUUGCGCAAUUUAGGGUAGCGAAAAUUCGGGUUGCGAAUCGUAGCCGGGUCGGGUAGGGUUUCGCUGGGGAGCGGGUUGUCGGGCCAGGCCGGGCGUCCCAAAACGCUCGGCCACGAUGCCGUUUCGUUUUUUUUUUUUUAAAGGAAAAAAUACGAGUCGGGGCUCGCGUUGCGUGCGGGUUGUCGGCCUAGGUCAGACCCAACCCGCGGAUCCGACCCGAGUCCAUUUUUAUAAUAUUUUUAAAUAAAAAAUAUAAAAAAAUAAUUUAUUUUCGAAAAAAUCAAAAAUAAUUUAUUUUUGAAAAAAAUAUUAAAAAAUCUUUUAAUUUCCAGAAAACCGAAAAAUAUUUAAAAAUUGUUGAAAAUUUUUUUAUUUUCUGAAAAAAUCAAGAAAAAUAAAAAAUAAUUUAUUUUCCAAAAAAUAUUUUAUUUUCCGAAAAAUAAAAAAAAUCAAAAAUAUUUCAUAAAAUCCAAAAAAAGCCAAAAAUUCAUGAAAAGGCAAAGAAAAUUCAGAAAAAGCCAAAAAGACUUGUAUUUUUCCAAAAAAUACCAAAAAAUCCAAAAAAAUCCCUUUUAUGUCCAAAAAAAAUUAGAAAAAGACUCAAAAAAUGUUUUUCCUCCCAAAAAUGCAUGGAAAAUUGCUCGAACAUCCAAAAGACCUCAAGGUUUAAACAAGAUUAGGUACCGAAAGGGCAUUAUCGAUUAACUAGUGUAAUCAAGUCGCCAAUUCUAAUUUCUCUGAUUGCGCAGGAGUAAGUAUUUCUCCCGAUACUUCACUUGGAUUUCUAAUCAACCCACCAUAAAUUGAUUAGUGGCGACUCCAUUUUAAAAAUUGAUUUACAGGUUAAAAACUUGAACCAUUAAGUCGUGAAUUGGUGGACUUGGGAGAGUCCGGCAAUAACUAAUUUUAGCCAAGCCAUUAGCCUCCUUAGGCGCUCGUACCCGAUUGUGGGCGCUAAAAAAAAAAAGAGGUCACGACACUGUGUAUCCAACAAACUCAAGUUUCCUGGUCCUGAAAUUGAGUUUCAAAUUUGAAGUUCCCCGAAGAUACCUCAUAAUCCACUUCACUACAUUCCAAUGCUCUUUGCUUGAAUUUGACAAAUAGCGACUAACAACGCCAACUGCAUGCACCAAGUCUGGGCGUGUACAUACUAUUGCAUACAUUAAACUUCUUACAGUUGAGGCAUAUGGAACACUUUCCAUAUCUUUCUUCUCUUUAUCAGUCAUAGGACUUUGCUUCAUAUUUAACUUAAAGUGGGCAGCAAAAGGAGUACUAACCACUUUAGCCUUGUCCAUGUAAAAUUUCUGAAGUAUCUUCUCGAUAUAUUUCUCUUGCGACAAAAACAACUUCUUAACAUCUCUAUCUUAGGUAAUUCUAAUGUCAUGAAUCUGCUUAGUCGAGCCCAAGUCUUUCAUGGCAAAAGACUUGCUCAAUUGUUUCUUCAAUAACUCAAUUCUUGAAGCAUUCCUACCAACAAUCACAUAUCAUCAAUAUAAAGCAAGAGAAUAAUAAAUUCAUCAUCAGAAAAUUUUUGGACAAACACAUAGUUAUCCAAGAAAGUCUUCUUAUAGCCCUGUUCUGUUAUAACUGACACAAACUUUUUGUACCACUGCUUCGAUGCUUGUUUUAGGCCAUAGAGGCUUUUCUUCAAUUUGCACACAUAAUCCUCUUUCCCUUUCACUUUAAAACCCUUAGGUUGUUCCAUGUAUAUCUCUUCCUCCAAGUCACCAUGUAGGAAGACUGUUUUGACAUCUAUUUGCUCAAUUUCCAAAUCUAGGGUAGCUGCCAAGCCUAGUACCUCAUGGAUAGAAGACAUUUUCACUAUUGAAGAAAACAUAUCAUCAAAAUCAAUACCCUUUCUCUGACCGAAUCCCUUAACAAUCAAUCUAGCUUUAUACCAUGGUUGUGAAGUAUGUUCAUCUUGUUUCAACCUAUAUACCCACUUGUUCUUCAAAGCUCUUUUACCUUUAGAUAACUUCACAAACUCAAAAGUAUGAUUAUCAUAAAGUGACUACAUUUCAUCUCGCAUAGCAUCAAACCAAUUGUUUUUGUACUCAUUUUCUAUUGCUUCUGCAUAGCACUCUGGUUCACCUGCAACAGUCAAUAAUAUAUACUCAUCUUCAGAAUACCUGGUGGAAGGUCGUUGGUCUCUAACGGAUCUCCGGACUUGAACAUCCAGUGGAACAUCUAAUUGAGCCUCUAGUUCAGGAAUAUUAUUAUGUUUCAACAUGUUCAGGAACAUGUGCGUUAUUUGGAACAUUGACUUCCUGCUGCUUUUUGUCAACCUGUGUAGGUAUAUUUGUAAGAGGAACUUGAUCCAAAUCAACCAAAUUAUCACUAACCUGUGGUGCUGAAAUUAUCUUCGAUUUCUCAAUAUCCUCUAUUGUUUGAUCUUCCAUAAACACAACGUCUCUGUUUCUUACAAUUUUAUUUUCAACUGGAUCAUAAAAUUUGUAGCCAAGCAUAUCCUGUCCAUAAUCAAUAAAUAUGAAUUGUCGUGUUUUUACAUCAAGUUUAAACUUCUCAUCUUUGGGAAUAUGUACAAAUGCUUUGCAUCCAAAGACAUGCAAAUAAUCAUAAGAAACAUCUUUGUCUAUCCAAACUCUAUUAGGAACAUCAAACUCUAAAGGAAUGCAUGUAGUAAGAUUUAAUAUAUGUACAACUGUACUUAAAGCCUCACCCUAAAAGGAUCCAGGUAGCUUUGACUGUGAAAAUAAGCAUCUUACCCUUUCAACCAGUGUUCUAUUCAUUCUCUCAGCUAAGCCAUUUAACUAAGGCAUCUUGGGAGGUGUCUUUUGAUGUCGAAUACCUUGUUGUCUGCAAUAUUCAUCAAAAGGUCCAAUAUACUCUCCAUCAUUAUCAGUUCUGAUGCAUUUCAAUUUUUUUCCAGUUUGUCUCUCAACUGAAGCCUGAAAUUGCUUAAAAAUUAUCUAACACUUGAUCUUUAGUUUUUAAGGUAUGAAUCCAAAUUUUUCUUGAAAAAUCAUCUAUGAAUGUAACAAAAUAAAGAGAGCCACCAAGUUAUUUUGUUUUCAUAGGACCGCAAACAUCAGAAUGCCCUAAAUCCAGUAUACCUGACUUUCUUGAAGGAUGGGAGCUUUUAAAUGCAACUUUAUUCCGUUUUCCUGCUAAACGGUGAGCACACUUCUUUAGCGCCAAAUUUUUCAAUCAUGAAAGGAACUUCUUCUUGGCCAAUAUUGAUAAACCAUUCUCACUAAUGUGAUUGAGCCUCUUAUGUCAUAACUCAGCUGCAUCUUCGCUAUCUACUGCAUUAAUUUUGUCUGUGAACAACUUUGCCUACAUAAUGUACAACAAAGAAUAUUUUUCACCUCUAGCCACAACAAGAGAACCUUUAGUGAACUUCCAUUGACCAUUACUGAAGAUGCUACAAUACCCCUUGUCAUCUAAUUUGCCUGUAGAAAUCAAAUUCAAGCGGAUAUUAGGUAUAUGUUUAACAUUAUUCAAUACUAACCUUGUGCAAUUGUUGGUUUCUAGGCACACAUCACCGAUACCUAUAGCUUGAGCUAGCCCAUGGGAAAAUCCGAAGUCACCUGACCUGUAUGAUGUAAAGAAAUCCCUACGAGACGUAGCAUGAACGGAUGCACCACUAUCAAUUACCCAACUAGUCUCAUGAGAUACAAAAUUCACCACAUCACCUUCAAAAAUAAUGAGAAAGUCUUCUUUAAGUGCAGUAACACGAUUGUCGUCACUAUCAUUAUCACUUUGCUUCUCUUUACCUUUCUCCUUUUGUUUCUCCCUUUUUAACUGGUGACAAAAUCUCUGAAUAUGUCCCUUCUGAUGACAAUAAUGGCACUCAACAUUAGCAAAUUUAUUAUACUUAUCUCAAUUUUUAUCUCCAUUUCUCGGAUCUCGAGACUCAUUUCUUCCCAUUUUCUCAAUAACCAAGGCAUCAGAAUGUGAAGAGAACGAUCAUUGUGUCUUCCUUCUCAUCUCUUCAUUCAAAAUACUACUCUUGGCCAAAUCCAUGGUAAUCGUACCAUUUUGGAGCAUCAUUAGACAAAGAUGUUUGGAACGUCUCCCAAGAGUCCGGCAAAGUACCAAGUAACCAUAGUGCUUGUAUCUCAUCAUCAAACUUGAUUCCCAUUGCAGCCAACUGAUUUAUAAUUCCUUGAAAAGAAUUUAAAUGAUCAGUCAAACGAGUACCAUUUUGAUAUCUCAGAGCCAUAAUCUGUUUUAUCAAAAAUAACUUAUUAUUCCCAGUCUUUCGAGCAUAUAACUAUUCAAGCUUAUCCCAUAAACUGUGUGCAUGUAUUUCCUCGAUAAUAUGGUUCAAAAUAUUAUCAUCCACCCAUUGCCUACUAUAUAGACCAUUUAUCAUCAGUUUUAUUCUCUGGUUUCUUCUCAGCAAAUACGAGCAAAUAAAAAUCUUUCACAUAUAAAAGGUCUUCCCUCUUUCCUUUCCAAAUAUGAUAAUUCGAACCAUUCAAUGUAACCAUUCUACUUGUAUUCGUUUUUAUUAUUUAACACAAGGCAGAAAAAUCGAGCAAUAACCAGAUGCUCUUAUACCACUUUGAUGAGAGAAUAGUAACAAUUCGAACAAUAUCAAAUUAACGCAGCGGAACCUUCUUAUAUAAACCUAAUAAGAAUCGAUAUAGUAGAGUAAAAUAAAUACCAAGCACGUGAACACAAGACGAUUUUUUGCGUGGAAAACCUUCUCGAUGUGAGGAGAUAAAAAACCACAGGAUCAGAGUCCACCCGAAAAUCUUCACUAUCAACAAAAUUGGGUGAACAAUGUUCUUCUCUAGCAAAUACUAGAGGUACAUAGUAGCAAACACCUCAAGAACAUAAUUCUUGGCAAUAUACUUGAAUUUCACAAGAGAUCAAGGAUAAAUCUGAUAAAAAAACACAGGUUUUGAUCAAUCCAUGAAAAAUCUAAUGUAAGGAGCUUCAAACGAAAAUCAAACCGUUCAGAUUCAAGAAAAUUGCGCCACGUACAUGCUGACAAAAUUUCAUCUCAAUUGGACCAUGAAUCAACCUCCGAUGCCAGCUUGAUGUAAAUCAGAUAUUGCCCCAAACUCUAAAUUUUCUGCUUUCUCUUUUUCUCUUAUUAUUAUUUCCUUUGCGGCUAUCACUUUAUAUAGAUAGUGAUAAACCAUAUUUCCUCAUAUAACUUAUCAUAUGGGUUUAAGCUCUUUUUGGGCUUGCAAGUCAUUGGGCUUCCCCCACAUAAGAGUGAACCCAGCUAACAGUUGUUGGGCCAUCCAUGGCCGAGCCACCUCUUCACGGUUGCUCGUGGAGAUAUAGAAAUUGAGAAAAGCCGGGGAAAAUAGAAAAGAGUAGGCAAAAAGCUUAGGUGUUGCCUGAGAUUUUGGGUUCACCUCACUUCCCAGCAAUUUUUCUGCCUAUUUUUAGAGUAGUGCUUUUUUUGUGGAAGCUGCGUUGAGCAACAACGGCCUCCUCUGCUUAUGGCCUCCUCCUCUACUUCAUGAGGAAGAGGGUUUGUUUUAUGUCCAUGGUUUAUUUUUAAUUUUAAUUAUGCAAAUCAAAUGUUUAUUUGGAUGAUAUUUAUUUGAAUCCAUGUUAUAUCCAAACAUCAACAAACAUUGGAUAGGAUAUCUAAAAUCAUAACCUAUCCUUAUGCUAUCUGACAUUAUCCUAUCCAACGAAAAAUGCCCAGACGACCAAAUGUAGUUAUAAUGAUUUGUUUUCAUGUAUUUUAUAUCCAAUUGAAUUGUUUAUUUAUAGACACUUUGGGUUUAUACUUAAUUUAAGUGUUUUCACACUUAAGCGUAAGAGUAAUUGUAACUCUGAUUUUUUCGAUUAUAAUGGAUUAUUUUCUACUAACUUUCCUUGUGGAUGUAGGUAUCGAUACUUGAACUAAAUCACAAAAAUACCUUGUGUCCUCUAUUAUUCAUCGUUUAUUUUUCCAGUGAUUUUGCACUAAUUAUCUUGUGCCACCCCUGUUACUUUGAGUAAGAGUCAAGCGCCUCCGAUGAGCUAACAUUUUUUAGUGCUACUCCAACUCUAUUGGUGGCUUGUUCAGCAAAUAAACAACAUCAUCGACCUUUCCAUCCUACGACAAGUCCGCCACCGGAAACCAUACUGCCAAACUCCGCCACACGCGCCCACACCCGCCAUCAUGCACCAUUGCGGUUGACAUCCACGCGUUACACGUGCCAAAAGUGCUUGCCACUCUGAUGUCACUCACGUGCCAUCCACGUGCACGUUCCAGUCGUGUCAUCUCACCACAUCCGUAGCUGACCAUUGACCAUUAACCGAUUGUUGACUAUUGACCGGUUUAGUCAAUCCGGUCCGACCGGUUCCAAGGCACUUUUCAACUAGUUCUUGGCGAUCAUAGACUGGUUUCCAAGGUACUUCGACGUGUUGAGUCCAUUUGUGGGCCUUAUUUUCUCAAUAUUGAUUCUCCAAGUACUGGUUUGAGUUAGCAUUUGUUGUCCAGAUAAAAUGCAUAUUAUGGAUAAAUCAGAAGUUUCAAUAUCCAAUUGUCAUCAACUACAACCUAAGCAACUUAUAAGGAAGGCCAAUCAACUGCGAAACUAUAUUCCACAUGCAAGUUCAUUUGCUGCCACUUCUAUCGACAAGGCUUCUCCCAUUAGAUUGUCUGUCACUCUCUCAUUAGAGGAUCCUCAUUUCAUUCUCUGAGAAUGUAGUAUUUCUAAGUCCUCUGUUCCUUCUAUUAUAUCGGUUGCUUCAUUUAUUUCCGAAUCAUGUUUUCUUUACUCCACCUUCUACAAUCAUAUAAAUUCAAAUUCUAUUUUCUUUUAGUCAAAAUCAUUCAAUUUGCAUGCCCUUACCAUUAACACAACUGAUAAUUCCCAAAUAAGAGUUAGCCAUACAUAAGACAUUUCAAUAUACACUUUAACCUUGUCUCACACAUUUAUGGUUCCCAAAUUGCCUCUGAAUUUAGCUUAAUUUGGAUAAUUGUGUGAACUUAGCUUUGAUGUUUGACUUGAUAAUUGGAAAAUGCUAAUAAAUUUUAGGAUUUAAUCACAGUUUUUACAAUUUUGAGGACCCAAUUGAAUUUUUGUGACAUGAUUAUAUUUUUUGAAAGUUUUAAGAUUCAAUACAUUUUCAUGACAAGCUUUGAGAUUUAAUUGCACUUUUUAAAAGUUUUAAAACUCAAUAAUUUUUUCUUAAUCAAUUUUAGGAUUUUCAGUAUACUUUUUUCCAAGAACUAAUACUCGAGUUGUGAAGUUUCAUUAGAUUAAGCAUAUGGGACCAUCCUUCGAGAAAAGCAAAAAGACAAUAAUGAUGACGCAAGACUUCGGCACUUAAGAAGAAUAUUAAUGUAGGGCAUGUAAUUUUGUCAUCACUAAGAGAUUGAUUGGUCUUAGCUAACUCCACAGUAGGUACGUUAUUUCCUAGAAGUAAAGUUCAAGUCCAUAAUACUUCCAAAAUCCUAUUUGGUUUUUAGUAAUGAAUGCACUGCCAAUAUUGAAUUUGAUAGACCCAAUAACACUAUAGUUACACCUCUUACCUGAAAGGUAACCUUGGUAUACAAAGGCCGAAAGAAUGAAACAUUUCAGUAUCAUCUUUACCCAAAAAAUGUAUAGCCAAGUUGUGUAACUACAAUCAUCAAUAAAAGUGACAAAAUAGCAUAAACCAAACGAAUACUCUUGACCAGGACUCCAAAAAUUGGAGUGCACUAACUCGAACGGCUAAGAUGCACUACUUAAAAUUGGGUGGGGGGGUGGUGGUUACCCAACUAACAUGUUUUACAAUCAAACUGCAGACUAAAACUAGACAUAAAAGGAAAAUGUCGAAGUACAUCUGUUGAGGGGCGACCGAGGUGACAAUAGUUGCAGCAACAAUAAUCUCAAGCAACAAUAAUCUCAAGGUCCGAAGGUACAAUCCACUAGCCUUACGCCUAGCACCUAUGCAACGUCAGUCUUCCGAUCCUAAAAAACACACAAAGCAAAAGGAAAGAUAACAUCAUAGUCAAGAUCACAGGUAAUAGAGAUGACAAAUAAUAGAUUAUGAGGGAAGCAUGAAAUAUGGUAAACAAUCAGUAAGGACACGGAAGAAGUCAAUGAUGCGCAACCUGAACCUUUCACCUUGGACUGAGAACCAUCUGCCAAAGUGAUUAAAGUGGAUGGAACAAAUGAGGUGAAAUUAAGAAGACACGGAACACCAGUCAUAUGAUGAGUGGUACCCAAAUCAAUAAUCUAAGGACGAGGAGUAGCUAUAGUGGACAAGAGACAAGUAGGACCAUUGUGCUACGCCAAAGUAGCAACGAGGCUCGCAAGAACACCAAGCUGUCCUGCUGCUAUUUCAGCAGGCAAUAGACGGUUUCCGGUUCAGUCCAACCGAGCGGCAGCUGAUUAAUCACUUGAAGUCGGAGAAACCCGGAAGCACAGAAGAUUCCUGCAUCAUUCCGAAACUGGAAAACAUCACCGACUUCAAUCCAGAGGAUUUACCUGCGAAGUUCAAGGGUGAGUCGUUCGCAACUUCAAAGAGAGAGACUCGGGAAGAGAGCAAUAGCCCCCUUUACUCAUGACUCAAAGUGAAUUUCUUAAAUGUGCAUCGCAGAGAAUUCGAUCAUUCCGUCCAAUGAUCGAGAAUGGUGGUUCAUCUGUCCACAGACGCCGAAGCCCCAUAUUCCCAGGAAAACACCAUGCGGUUCUUCUUGGGGUAUCACUGGUAAACCUAGAUAUAUUACAAUUGACGGCAAAAAGAUAGGUUUCAAGAAAAUAUCAAGCUUCCCUGAAGGCAAAGCCAAGAAGGACUGGAUCAUCCAUGAAUAUCAUCUACCCCAAGAUUUUCCCAAUGUAAACCUCAUUUAUUCGUUGCAAUUAAUUAGAUUCAGAAGAUGCAUGAAUUUGAUGACGUAUCACAUGAGAAGUGUGGCAACAAUUAUCUGCAGAAACACUAGAUUUUAAAGUUUCCAAUAGUCCUAAACAAGCAGAGAAACAUUUUUGUGCUCAGUUUCUGCUACAGAAGAUUUGAAUCUUACACAUAUGUAGAGAAUGAUAUUAUUUUUGCCGAAUUUGAGAGCAGUUUCUUACUUUUGAAGAAAAUCUGAGAACUAUGAUGGGAAUUGAUAUAACACGGUCUUUUGACAGCGGAAUGGAAAUAAUGUUCUGUGUCACUUAAUGCGCAAACAAGAUGAAAAGGCUGACAAUUCAACGACAAGAUCAGAGGAUGGGAAAUUCACCCUACUGGAAGCUGAGGAAUGGUGUAAUCAAUCUAAUGAUGAGGCGUGGAGGAAUAAAUCUUCUGUUUAUGCACUCAAUAUCAGAGCGCGUGGAAUGUGUUAGUGACUAAUCAUUUACUUGCAAAUACAGCCUGAAGGGAUAUCACUGGAACUGCACACUAUUUCUUGGCCUCGCCUCAUGCAGCUGCUUCAUCGUGAGCUAGAAUCACUCUCCAUACCUCAGUCUACGAAUAUUGGGAGUUCGCAUGGUAAAGACUUCUCACUGGAAAACAGUCGUACUGAUAAAUCUAUUGAAUUGAAAUCUUCACUUGGAACAACUAAAGAGGAUGAAUGGGUUGAUGCAGUGCCAAAUGCAGAUCUUUCCAAUGCCGAGGUUCAGAAUGGUGAAGAGCCUGAUAAAUCUAUCGAAUUGGAAUCUUCGCACGGACGAACUGAAUGCGAUGUCUGGGCUGCCUCAUUGAUUAUUGAAAAUCCCUCUGAUACCGAAGUUCAGAGGGGUGAAGAACCAAGGUUAGAGAAGGAUCAUCAGGAAACUGCAGCUACAAGUACCGAACCAUGCAUAACUUCGGAUGAAGACGCAGUCAGAGCAAAGGUGAAGCAGUUCCCAAACUUAACCAUGGCGUCUUAUUACUAUUUGACGUGUAUUGCUUGGGAAGUUAAUUAGAUGUGAUUCACAGACACUUUAGAAAACGGUUUAUUUUGUUAAAAUCGGCUUUGAGAAAACAUCAAGUGGAUUCUAUCAGUCCUCUCCGAAAAGGAAGUGAAAUUUCACUCUGAAAUGCUCAUGCAUUGUAAAUUUUUUAGUCAAAUAAUACGAAGAAUGAUGAAGAACUACGGAGCAGAAAAUAUAGUAAAAAAAAUUGCGGCUGAGAUCUUGUACAAGGUUGAAGCAGAUUACUAAGAGGCUGAUUAUGUGAUUAGCGCUUCCAGACAAUUUGAGAACAAAAACAUGAAUUUUUUUUUAUGAGAUAGAGAUAGAGAUAGUGCCUCAGUUAUUUCCGUUGAUGCAUUUGAUCUUAUGCAAUGCUUUGCUGCAGAAUGGCCAAAUAUUUAUAGCGGAGAAUCGCCGAAGUAAAGUCGAACCACUCAAUUGUGUUUUUCCUCCUGAGGAAACGGAAGGCUUCCCAUCGAGUCCACUCCGCAGCUCACGUUUUUUGGACUUUAGCGAAUAUGGGGAUUUUUUCCAUCAACCUGCAGAUCAAGAAAAGGUGAAAGAAGCUCCCAGUUUAGCGGAUUUCGUAUUGCCAUUCUCUUCUUGUCUUGAUGUCCACUGUUGGACCAUUUUAGUUCGAUUAGCGAGGUUCCGGAUUUUCCGGAGUGUCAUAUGUAGAACUAGGGAAAUUCUCCAUUUUUCUCUCCCCUGUUAAUCCUUCUUUCUUUUUGCCUAUCAGCUCACUAUUCGGAACACUAUGGUGGCAGGGACUAGAACACGAACAGCACAAUUUAGGUGGUAAUUCAUCCAAGAGGAGGAGAGUGGACGUGUCUGAGGAAAAUCAAAUUCAGUGACUGCGUUGACCAGAUCAACCACGAAGAGCACAAAAACUUCCACAAAUCCCCCACUGCUUAAUCUAAUUGAACUUGCUCAUUGGGAUUUUCCUGUCGAUCGCCACUUUUAGAGAUAUAGAUAUAUUCAGGAGAUUACACAUAUGGUAAUUGAUAUCUUACUACUUUAUAUAGAAUCUGCAUAUUUUAAAAACAAGCUCAUGUUUUGUUUUUCAACAUAUAUCAAAAAAUAUAAAAAAAUUCAAUAAUUCUCUUUUCCACUUUAUUAUUCUCAAUGUGAUAUCAAGCAAUUAUUGUAUGAGGAAGCAGCCAUUGGGUCUUCAACCAAGGUAGCGUGUAAGCCCGUCAUAUCAUGAAUACCACUAUGGCUGCGCAUGACAAACUUUCUGAAACAUAAAUUGAUUUCUGGCCAGAAAUCAAUUUCUUAAUUUCUAUUUUCCGGACAAAUUUCUGAGCAAAGAAACCCGUUUGAUAACGACUCAAAAUUUAUAUUUCUGAAACAGAUAUCCAUUUGAUAACAGAACAAAAUUUCUAUUUUUAGGAAUAUAAAUUGAUUAGAUAACAACAUAGGAAAUAUUUAAAUACAAAAUAAUAGUCGAAAUAAUACUAAUACAUUACAAAAGUUGAAAAUACAAUUUCAUGGAAUUUCCGGCAUAUUAUUAUCCCUUGCCAUUUUAUUAGCAAUUGUUUUCCUAAGUGUAUUUAUUUGGUUUCCCUCCUCAGUCAAUGUAUCGUUUGCAAGCUCAUCCUACGUAGGUUUAGAAAAGUACUGCGGAAGCAUGAAUAUGGGUACCAUCAAUGGCACCUAUACAACCUUGUCAUUUUAUCAAAAAUUAGUAUUAUACAAGAUUAUCAACAAAAUAAAAUUAAUGGUUUAAAAGAAUAUAUGAGAAUUCUACCUUAAAGUAAUGUUUAUGGUUAGGAACAAAUCAGGGGAAGGUCGGUUUAUUUUGAUUCUCGAAUUGAAUCAAUCCAGUUGCUCAUCCCUAAUUUCUUUAUUGUUGCUCAAUGAACCUUUAAUGGCCCUUGCAUAGCAAAGAGAGAGAUUCUCUUGAAUCUCUUGCCUUCGAAUUAAAAUUCAAGAUUGUGUAACAAUCUAAUUAUUUUGAUUUUGCAUGAAUUUUGAAUCCAUAAAAAAAUAAGAUUAAAUUUUUAGGCACAUUUUUUAUUCAUCUAUUACGUAAGAACUUUUUCUUCAACUGGCCAUGCGUGUGCCUUUUCUAGGAGGAAAGAGCUCCAUUGUUUUUAAGUAAACAUUUAAGAACUUUGGUCGUUUUUGAAAAGUGGGGACCCAUUCGAUUGCCUUUCAUCCUAAAGAGGAAGUUAUCAAAAAAAAAUUUGAAAAAAAAAACACUAACAAAAUAAGAAAAAUAAAAUUAGUAAUAAUUUGUGAAGUUGUGGUUAUGAGUGAAUUAAGUUAGCAAGAAAGUACAAGGUUCUUUAUAUGAUUUGAUUUUAGUUUCUGAUUUCUAUUUCAAAAACUGACACGUUAAAAAUUUCAGUUUCUGAUUUCUUCAAUUUCUCUAUUUCUGGAAUAGAAAUCUGUUUCAAAAAUAGAGAAAUAAAAUUGCGUUACCAAACGGAUUUCUGUUUCAAACAUGUUCCGGGGAACAAAGAAACAGAGAAAUUGAGAAACAGAAAUUUUGUCAUGCGCGCCCUAUAAUAGAUACCAAAAGAUCUUGAGCUAGAAGUCACAUUAGGGGAAUCACCCCUGAAACAAUAGAUGGAGAGCUUGUUGACCUGUGGACUUAUCCACAAACCAAGAAUAAAACACCACACGCUACCACAACACCAUUUAGAGCACUAGAGGGUGAGAUUCAAAGAAACCUUUGCUUUUCAAACUUAUUGUUAGUGGACUAUAUUAAACACAGUUGACUAGAUAGGAACCACAAUGAUAACACCACGAAAAUAGAAGAAUCUCACCCGAAUCACCACAACUUUGUGAUCUAAUUAUCACAUCGCCACAAACAACCCAACACCAACCAAAACACAUCGUCGGGCUGAAGUGGGGGCGUUGACAUCAAUGGAACAAUAUGGGACAACAGAUUUUUAGGGCAUUGACGUCAAUGGGACAGUAGCUUUGUUGCCAAUGAUGAAACAAAAAUAAAGGAGCUUACCGUUGUAGCGCUGCUCGAUUGGAGGCAUCGCCAAUCAACAGUAGAAGGGGCAAAAAAAAAAAAAAAAAACGAUGCCUUGGAUAGAAAGAGCAAAAAUGACGCCUUGGUGCAGCUUACUAGGAGAACUGAAGCUUGUUGUCUUCUCUCACAUAGGAAUCUCAUGCUCUGAUAUUAUGUUGUUGGAAAAAGAAAUAAUACUUGUACGAUUAUAGGCUUAGAGUUAAGCCUUGUACAAUUACACAAAUAACCCCAACUUGCUAACAAAGAAUAAUUGGUAAUAAACCAACAGAUACAUUGGUAUAUAAAGAGUGCGUGUAUUUGUGUUUCUGUUCAAAAAGUGUUCCAGGGAACAGAAAUAGAAAAAAUUAUUUCUAUUUCGGAAAACAAUUUUUUACCAGAAAAACGUGUUUGGUAAACUUGUUCCGGAAAUAAAUAAAUAAAAGAAUAUAAACAUGUUUGGUAAAUUUGUGUUCUUCUUUUUUUGUUUCUUUUAAUUUUUUAAUUUUUUAAUUUUAUUUUUCCUUUUUUAUUUCUUUAUUUCUUUUUUUCUUCUUUUGGCCGGCGGCCUCAUCCAGCCACGGCAAGGCUUGUCGGCCUCCAGCGAGGCUUGGCCUCACCUUGGCUAGGCGAGCUCGAGCUCGCCCAGAUUUGGCGAGGCCGAGCUCGCUCAACCAUCGGUCGCCUGGCGGUGGCUUGGCGAGGCUGGGCAAGCUCGGCCUCGCCCAAAUCUGACAAGGCCAAGCUCGCCCAGCCAUCAGCGAGGCUCAGCGUCGCUUGGCCUCGCCAGGGGGCGGCGACGCUCUAGUGAGAUCGCCGUCUCUCAACGGCGUCGCCGGCCAUGGCCGAGGCUAGUGACCAGCCAAAGAAAAAAGAAGAAGAAAAAAAGAGAAGAAAAGAAAUAAGAGAGAAAAUUUGUUCUUAAAAGUUGUUCCAGAAACAAGAAACAAGUUUUUUUUUUUGUUUCUUAUUUCUGUUCCAAUUUUGUUCUCGGAAACAAACAAAAAAAAAGAUUUGGAACAAAAACGCAAAUAAACACGUUUCUGUUCUUUUUUUUGUUCUCAGGAAAAAAUAAAAAAAUCUGUUCUUGAACAGAAAAGAACACAACCAUGCAGGCCUAAAGAGACCAGGUAGAGUGUACCUGCACAUGUGCAUGGACAGCCCUUAUGUUAAUUGACCAUUAGCAGGUUGAUUUUGUUGUAAAAUAUUGCGUUGCGAAUAUAUAAUAGAGAAGAGAUUGAAAAGAGAAAGCAAGUGAACACUAGAGAUAAUAAAGAAAGUCAGAUAUUUCACUGUAUUGUGAUUGUUGUUCUAUUAUACAUCAAAACUAAACACCUAUUUAUAGGAUAACAAGAAUGUACUUAUUAUUAAUAUCAAUGUAUUGAAUGAUACAUGUACUAGAUAGGGGAGAUGAACGUUCAUUGUAUAGGGAGAUGUACUUAGAAUAUAUGAUACAAAUGUACCAUAAUAAGUACAUUAGAUAAGAUGAAUAUAAUGAAUAUUCAUUCAUGUAUUUCAUAACACUCCUCCUUAAAUAUUCAUCAUAUUCAUUACGAAUGUACAUCAAAUGAUACUGCCUCAUUAAAAACUUUAAGCUGGAAAAACCAAGUGGGAUAAAAACCGGAAAAAAGGGAAAAAGAGUGCAUAACACAAAUGUUAUUAUGAUCUUUCCCUUUUAUGGAUGCAUUAUUUGCCUCGUUAAAAACUUUAAGCCGAUGGGAAAAAACCGGACAUAAAAAAAAAAAAAAAAAAAGAGUGCAAUGCAUAUAUAGCCACUCUGGGGUCUAAUCAUUAUUGCAUUUUGUGAACUCGCCGCAUAUCAAUACCGCAAUGCAUAGUUCAUAAUAUCUCCCCCUCAAUAGAGCCAUAUAGCCACUUCUGGGGCUAAUCAAUAUUAUAUCUUAUAAACUCGCCGUAUAUCAAUGCUAUAUACGAAUUUCUCAAAAGUUGAUGUUGGCAAUAAUUUGGUAAAAAGAUCUGCAAAAUUAUUUAUGGAUUGAAUCCGUUUAACAUCAAUUUGUCGACUUUCUUGAAGUUCAUGAGUAUAGAAAAAUUUCGGCGAGAUAUGCUUGGUUCUAUCACCUUUGAUAUAUCCUCUCCUGACUUGUGCAACACAAGCAGCAUUAUCUUCAUAAAUUAUAGUGGGAAAAUUUGUAACCGAUAUUAAGCAACAAGAAUUAUGAAUAUGUGUUAUAACGGAUCUUAACCAAACACACUCUCUUCCAGCUUCAUAUAAAGCAAUAAUCUCAGAGUGGUUAGAAGAUGUAGCUACUAGCGAUUGCUUCGUAAAACGCCAAGAAAUAGCGGUGCCGUUAUAACAAAAUAAAUACCCGGUUUGAGAGCGAGUCUUAUGUAGAUUAGAUCUAUAUCCAUCAUCAGCAUAUCCAACUAAACCAGAGUUAGUGGAAUUCUUGGAAUAAUAUAAUCCCAAAUUUAUGGUUCCUCAGAGAUAAUGGAAAAUAUGUUUAACUCCAUUCCAAUGUCUCCGAGUUGGCUCAGAACUAAAACGUGCCAAUAAAUUUACCGCAAAAGCGAUAUCUGGUCUCGUACAUUGUGCCAAGUACAUCAAAGCCCCAAUUGCAUUGAGAUAUGGUACUUCAGGACCAAGAAUCUCUUCAUCAGAUUCUCUAGGACGAAAUGGGUCCUUUUGGGGAUUUAGAGACCUUACAACCACAGGGGUGCUCAAUGGGUGAGAUUUGUCCAUGUUGAAACGUUUAAGCAAUCUUUCAACGUAUGCUAAUUGAUGAACGAUUAUUCCAUUUACUUUAUGCUCAAGCUCUAGACCAAGACAAAAUUUGGUUUUACUCUUUAACUUCAAACUCCAUUUUUAAAUAUUCAGUAGUUUCAGCUAACUUUUAUGGAGUUCUAAUUAAAUUUAUAUCAUUGACAUAAAUUGCUAUAAUAGUAAAUCCGAUUUUUGAUUUCUUAAUAAACACACAUGGACAGAUACGAUCAUUAUCGUACAUUUCCUUAAUUAGGUACCCACUUAGGCGUUAAUACCACAUGCGACCGGAUUGCUUUAACCCAUAUAAGGAUCUUUACAAUUUUAUUGAAAAUAAAUUGCGGGGAGUGCAUGCUUCAGGCAUUUUGAAUCCCUCGGGAAUUUUCAUAUAAAUAUCAGAGUCUAAUGAGUCAUAUAAAUAUGCCGUCACAACGUCCAUAAGACGCAUUUCCAAUCUUUCAAAGAUUGCUAGGCUAAUGAGAAAACAAAAUGUAAUCAUAUCCAUCACAGGUAAAUAUGUCUCAUUAUAAUCAAUCCCAGAUUUAUGAGAGAAUCAUUGGGCAACGAGUCGGGCUUUAUACUUGACAACCUCGUUUUUCUCAUUUCGUUUUCGGAUAAACACCCAUUUAUAUCCAACGAGCUUUACAUUAUCAAAGAUACGAGUUAUAGGUCCAAAAACCUCUCGUUUAGUUAGGAAAGUUAAUUCAGCUUUAAUUGCUUCCUCUCAUUAGGCCAAUUUUGCCUUUGACGACAUUCAAUAAUAGAUUGCGACUUACAAUCAUCAUUCAUAAUUUUAUGAGCAACUAAGAAUGCAAAAGCAUCAUCAAUGAUGAUCUCAUUUCGAUCUCAAAUUUCAUUACAAUAUGUAAUGGAAUUCUCGGUAUUCUCGGGGAUAGUGUUCCUUUUAUGGGUUUGCGCUUCUUCAGGGGCAAUAAGCUCUUUGGGAGCAAGCACAACGCCAGGCUCUUCUGGAGUGGAUUCCUGAUUCUUUCCCCCUCAUAUCUGAGAAGCAAUAUCUUUUGAUCCUAUCAGUCUACCACACUUCAAGUGCGGGGGAUUUUGAUCCAUUUUAGCCCGUCCUUUGAGAAUAGCUAUCCUAGUUGAAGCAUUUGCAGCUGGAAUAUGAUAAUAGUGCAAAUAAACGUGCAAAUGUGACAUUGUGCGUAGAUAAUAAGCAAACAUGUGACCACCUACAAGAUGCAUCCACUAAUACCAUAAAAUAUCGAAAUAGUCCACUUAAUAGUUGUAUUGGUCCACAAAUAUCACCAUGAAUUCUUUGCAAGAAUAGAGGAGAUUCAAGAUUAACCUUUGUUAUAUAAGGUUUGAUAAUGAGCUUUCUUUGUGAGCGAGCCUUAUAAUUAUAAUCUUUGGAUAAUAAUACAUUUAUAUCCUUUAAAUUGUGCCAUUUUGUAUUUUGAAUUAUCCUACGCAUUAUUAAAGCGUCAGGAUGACUAAGACGAUCAUGCCACAAUCCAAACUGAUUAGGACUUACUAAUCUCCAGAAUGUGGUGGCGUAGGUUUUAACAGCCUUAAUCAUGACACAAUACAAACCCAUAGAAGAAGCUUCAAGCUUCUCCUGGAUGGUCUUUAGGCACAUCUUAUAAGAGAAAAUGCCAAUAUAUUCCUUAUAUUGCUCAUAAAUAGUCUCAAUAUGGUAUCAAUUACGGCGUACAUCUUUGAAACUGAGCAGAUUCCUUUUUGAUCUAAUGCUUAGAAAUGCAUUUUCAAUAUGCAGAAGUGUGCCAUUUGACAAAAUAAUUGUAACAUUCCCAAUACCAUCAAUAAUCGGAACAUGACCUAAUAUUGUAUGGAUUUGUGCCUUACGUAAUGUCAUACUCGAGAAAAAAUGUCUACUACGAAAUAUAGUAUUUGUUGUUGUAUUAUCAAGCAAACAAACAUCUUCCUUUUUCUCGGUAUUUUCCAUUUGCAUUUAUAUUGACAACUUCAUGUGUCAAGUAUCAUAAAAGUUGCAUAUUAGUUAUAUAGUCGAAUAAAAUUUCAAAAAUAAAUAUUAUAUAAGGUUCAUAAGCAUUUCAUAAAGAACAAUACAAAAUAAUACAUUUAAAGCAAAACAACAUAAAAAUUCGAAGUUCAAAUUAUCAUCCACCAAUCUAAUUCAUCAAAGUAAUCAGAGGUCCUUAAAGAAAUUAGAGAUAUCCAAUGAUGCAUUUGCUAUUUCAGGAGCAAGAGUCCCACCAACGGAGAUAUUGUUAGCCUCAACAGUGGUUAUGGUAGUAGGAUUGAUUUCAAUGGCAUAAGAUUCACCACACAUGCCUGUAUUAUUUAAAGAUGCCUAUUAUAGAUCAACAAAAUGUUUUGGCGUACGACAGGUAUGUGGCCAGUGCCUAGUCAUGCCACAGCGAUGACAAAUAUUUUCAUUAAUAACUUUCUUUGGCUUCUUUUCUUUGCCAUGAUUCAGGCAAAAGUUAGAUUUUCUAGGGCGGUUAAAUUUCUUGUCAUCCCUUCUAGGAUUAUGUUCUUACCUGCGCUUAUAGCCCUUAAAAUGGCCAAUAUUUUUCUCAAAGUUAGCAUGUGCUUCAGGCAAUGCUUUUGAGCCAACAAGUCUAAGAUCAUGAUUUUUGAGUAGUAAUUCAUUGGUUUGCUUGGCAGUAAGAAGCACAGAAAUUAAUUCAUAAUAUAUGGCAAACUAACGUUGCCGGUAUUGCUGUUGUAAUACAAUAUUCGAAGCAUGAAAGGUGGAGAAAGUUUUAUCAAGCAAUUCCACAUCAGCGAGUUUAAUAUCGCAUAACUCAAGCCGAGAAACAAUAUAAAAUAAAACGGAAUUAUAAUCAGACACUGAUUUAAAAUCUUGCAGUCUGAGAUUUUGCCAGUCAUAUUGUGCUUAAGGGAGGAUAACAGUUUUGGUAUGAUCAUACCUAUCAUUCAACCUCAUCCACAAGAUAUGAGGGUCUCAAACGGAUAAGUAUUAAGUCUGCAGUCUCUCAUGCAAAUGACGGCGAAUAAAAAUCAGCGCGUUUGCUUUAUCCUUUUCAUUUGAGGUUCCAUCAUUUAUAAUUGUAUUAGCGAGACCUUGCCCUUGGAGGUGCAUUUCCAUAUCAAGACACCAGGAUAGAUAAUUCUCUCCACUCAUUUUCAAGAUGUGGAAUUUGGGCUUUUCAACAUUUGCCAUAAUCCUUGCAAAAAUAAAUCCUUAUAAAUUAAAAGGAUUUCCAAAUAUCCACCGCCACUUCAAGAGUAGAAGGAUACUUUUAGAUUUGAAAUUUGGCUUUAUGUCAAGAAAAAUAAAAAUGAAGAAUUGAUAGAAGAAGAUGAAGUAUAAUUUGAUUAAUAAAAAGAAUACCCACCUUGCAAAAUAUACUUACUCAAUCAAUAGAUCUUUAUGUUGAUAACGUGUUGUAAAAUAUUGCGUUGCGAAUAUAUAAUAGAGAAGAGAUUGAGAAGAGAAAGCAAGUGAACACUAAAGAUAGUAGAGAAAGCCAGAUAUUUCACUGUAAUUGUGAUUGUUGUUCUAUUGUACAUCAAAAUUAAACACCUAUUUAUAGGAGAACAAGAAUGUACUUAUCAUUAAUAUCAAUAUAUCGAAUGAUAUACAUACUAGAUAUGGGAGAUGAACGUUCAUUAUUUAAUGAGAUAUACUUAGAAUAUAUGAUACAAAUGUACCAUAAUAAGUACAUUAGAUAAGAUAAAUAUAAUGAAUAUUCAUUCAUAUAUUUCAUAACAGAUUUUAAAUCAAACCCCCACUAUAUUAUUGAUAAAAGGGAGAAAGUACAUUAAAGUCUUAAAAUUUGUCACAAAAGUGCAAUUGAGUCAUAAAACUUUUAAAAAGUGGAAAUUAAGUCAUAAAAUUUAUUAUGAAAGUGCAAUCGAGUUAUAAAUCUUUCAAAAAGUGCAAUUAAAUUCUUAAAAUUUUAAAAAAAUGGAAUCAAUCUAAAGACUUGAUUGAAUCAUUUUGACAAGUUUUAGAUUUAAUUGAAUUUUAAUAAAAUUUUAGAACUUAAUUGUACUUUCGCGAUAAGUUCUUACACUUCACUACACUUUUUCAAAAUUUGAGAACUUAAAAUUUCAGUGCACUUACGCUUUAGUAAAACGGAUAGAGAAGUCUCCUGUUGUAAUUAGAGGCAACACAAAGGACACAUCACAGGAGCAAAUCCCGAGAAUUUCCUGAAUAUUGUCAUUGCCAUGUGAGAAAACAGUGCAAAUUUCAGUAUGAGGGGAAAGUAAUAUUAGUUUCAUUCAAGUGAUCGGAUCCAUCAGGGCAAGGAAAAGCAGACGAAAAACCAUCCCUGUCAGCUAUCAAUCACGAUCAAGAUUUUUCUGAUAUCCACGUACAAAAAGUUGGUAACUUCUCAUAAAGACCCUCCCAAAUGGUAAUGGGUUCACGCUCACUUUUCUGCUUCCACAAACUGUAGUGAGUUCGUUACUACCUUGUGUGUUGAGUGAAGAACAGAACGGAAGGAGAUGGGAGCUGUGAUCAUCCCACAGAAUUUGCCCAUCGGAUACAGAGUCCAUCCAACUGACGAGGAAUUCGUAGAUCAUUACUUGACGAACCGAGUCUUAGGAAUCGUAGAGGAUCCCUGCAUAAUUCCAGAUGUUGACAUCUGCAGGUGGGAUCCUUGGGAAUUACCACAGAAGUUUCAUGGUGAGAACAGAUGCCACUAUCACUUUGCUUGCUCCUUUGAUACACUUCUUUGCAGCCAUUAUUUUCAGAAAUUUAGAACCUCAAGUUUAUGGGCUUUUGGGUCAUAAUAUUUAUCAUCAAUCGGUGAAAAUUCGAGGGAAUGACAGGUGAAUCAAUUAUUCGCCCGGAUGACAAAGUACAAGAGUGGUGGUGCUACUGUCUGCAAACAACCCAACAGGUUAAAAGAACGACUCCCUCUGGCUAUUGGAAGAAGACUGGUCCAGACCGGAAUGUCAAGGCCAGAGAUAUCAAAAUUGGCACUAAGAAAACAUUAGUUUUCCACAUACGUCAGGGAUCUAAAGGCGUCAAGACCAACUGGGUCAUACAUGAAUAUCAUCUACUCACCAAAAAUGUACUCAAUCUGUCCCUUGUAUGUUUUUUCCAUUUAAUUAGAUUAACACGAUGCAUGAACCUGAUAAUAUACGAUAUAAGAUUGCCAUCUUACACAGAUAUAGAGAUUGUUAUUAUUCUUGCCAAAUUUGUGAGCAGAAUUUUAUUGUUGAAGAAAACAUGAUCUGAUGGUAUGAACUGGUAUAACAUGGUCUUUUGACAGUUGAAUAGAAACUAUGUUCUGUGUCGCAUAAAGCAUAAAGGAGAUGAGAAGGCUGAUAAUUCUACCGUGGAAUUAGUGUACGAAGCCAGUGGCCUAGAAAAUUUGGAUUCAAUUCUUCGUCAACCAGAUCACGAGGACUUGUUUACUGAGGUGCGGAGGAAAAUAUGUUUGGUUCGUGUACUUAAUAUCUGUCUUAACGAGCAUGGGAAAUGUCUUAAUGACUAAUCUUUUGCUUGUUAAUACAGGAUUUGAUCCAAGCAAAGAUGAUGUCACUGAUGGAGGUCUCUUCUCUGCCCCAGAACCGAGUUCAAUUUGCUUUGCCUGACCUCCUGCAGCAGCCUCAGUCUGCACUGCAAUCACUAAAUAAUAGAUUCCCCUCCAACAUACAUCAGUUUAUGAAUGCCAAGAAUCCUUUUGCGAACUUCUUCUCAUCGGACAAUGGUUGGUUCACAACAAGUGACGAGGAUGAAGAUGCUGGUGACAUGUUUAUUGCAGAUCUUUCUGAAGAGGAUGUUUCUGAAGAGGAUGGAGAUGCUGGGGACAUGCUAAUUGCAGAUGUUUCUGAAGAGGAUGAAUAUGUUCGUGACAUGCUAAAUGCAGAUCUUUUUGAUGCCGACUUCUUUGAUGGAGACCAAAUGCAAACACAGGUCAAAAUUUCUCCCUUAAAAUUUCAUUGGGUUGUUGUGAUUACUUUUCUUGUAAAUUUAGGAGUAAAAGUGGUUUAUAAUGCGUUGGAAGGGCACUUCCCUUUUCCAUGUUAUCUGAAAAAGAAGGAUAAUUUUCUUUCAAUCAUCGUUGUGUAGAACAGAAAGUUCAUUAUAUAAUCUAUCUACGGAAAAAGAAAAGUGGACUUCCAUGAUGCGUUACUCAUGCUUAGGCUUGAAGUGCUGUCAUGAAAUUUAGUUUAUGCCUCAGUUAUUUCUUCUGAUUCAUUUUAUCUAAUGCAAUCUGUCGCUGCAGUAUGGGCAAACAUCUAACCAGCAUAGUGAGCAUCCUGUUCUAAUGGAGAAUCGGCGAACACAAACAAUCGACUCGUUUCACGGUGUUGUUCCUCUUGAGGAAAAGAAAGGCCUGGUGGAGAAUAAGUUUAACGGCUCACUUGUCACUCCUGAGAAACCUAUGGAGCCUCCUGUAUGUGCUGCAAGUAUAAAUUAUUAUGAAGAGCCAAGGUUUGGAAAGUUUAAACAGGAAACUGCAGCCAAAGGUAUCAAACCAGAAUGCGUAUAUUUGGAUGAAACAGCAGCCAAAGCAAAGGUGAAAGCAGCUCCUAAACUAACCCAUUGUCUUAUUACUACUCUUAUGUAUUAAAGGCAUUGCUUGGAUAGUUAAUUAGAUGGUAGGGAUUCCGUUAUUCAUUGCAGCGAACUAUGUUGGAUAUGUGGUUCAUGGGCACUUAAGAGAACAGUUAAUUUUGUUAAAAUCUGCUUCGAGCAAUACAUGAAAUUGAUUCUAGCAUUCUUCUACUAAAAGGAAGUAAAAUCCCACUCUGAAUUGCUUGUAGAUCCUUGAAACGAUAACUUAGAUUCAACUUAAUUAGAAUGGUGGAUAACCACGAGCAGAAAAUAUGUAUAGAAAGAAGUCGCAGCCAAGAUAUUGAACAUGGUUAUAGUAGAUGACUAAAAGGCAGAUUAUGUAAGCAUCCAGACAAUUUGAGAACAAAAACAUGAAUGUUGCUCAGUCAUUUCUGUUGAGAGAUUUAGAUAAUGCCUCAGUCAUUUCUGUUGACCCAUUUGAUCUUACACAAUGCUUUGCUGCAGAAUGGCCAAAUAUCUAUAGUGGAGAAUAGCAAAACACAAACAAUUGAGUCACUCCAUGAUGUUGCUCCUUUUGAGCAAAAGGAAGGUUUCAUGCAGCCUAAAUUCAACAGCUCACAUGUUUCCUCCACCAAAUCUAUGGAGCUUCUGAAAGAGCCCAAGAAUCCAGAAAUUCCCGAGUCUCCAAGAAUUUAUAUCGAUGAAGAACCAAGGCUCGAAAAGGUUAAGAAGCAGGGAAUUGCAUUGAGAAAUGUUAAAACAGAAUGUGUAUCUUUGGAUGAAUCUGCAGCAAAAGCGAAGGUUGAAGAAGCUCCCAAUUCACCGAGGAAGACAAGCAGCAGGGAGAUUGAACAUGCCGGAGAGAAUUCAAAUUCCGUGACUGCAUCGACGAGACCAUCCACCAAGAGCACAAAAAGUUCAACAGAUGCUCCCAUGAGUAAUAUUGUGAACCUGGUCAUCGGGAUUCUCCUGUUGAUCGCCUUCACUUACCUUCACCUGCCAAGUAUUUGAUUUAUGAUUUUCACUGCCAUUUGCCCUGAGUGUGAUGCAGUAUCAUUGACAAGUACGAUU
rnacentral:lncRNA from 1 species